rnacentral:lncRNA from 1 species
UUGAGAAAUUGACAGAAAUAUGUGCUGUCUUAAUCAGACUUUCAUUAAUUGCCUUGCGGACUUUUUUACAUGUCAGAAUUUAAAAAAGAAAAUAACCCAAAUAAUAUAAAAAUAAAAUUACAAGAAAAAAAAAAAGAAUUCUCUUACUAUGGUACACUAAUUAAUUACCUUCUCCCUAAGGCCUAAUUUUCUCCUUUUCUUUAAGGAAAAUGAAUCAGACCCUCUUGUGUUUUGACUUUCUUUGAAGCUUAUAUGUAUUUACAAUUUUAGGUCCUGAAUGUAUCAAGAUUGUGUUCGUCUUGAACUUGGCAGUGUCCUUUGGAAUGGUCAAGCUCAGGAAAUACCAACAUCACUAAGAUCUAGAAUUCGGUCCAAUCAAAAUUACUGAAUUCAGUCAAACUUAUCUCGUAACCGGAGCUCCGCAGCCCCUAGUCCUGAACUUUUGUGUAAUAUUUUUAUUUUCAUAUUUCUUGAGGAAAAACCAUUUGUGGUUUCUUCAUCUUCAUUUUAUCUUCUCCUCCUUCUUCUUCUUGUUCUAAUUUCAUUUUUUUUUUUUUUUUGAAAUGAAGUUUUCAUCUCACUGCUUAUUAGGCUUAUAGUGAUGAAUUCUUGGGAUAUAGCUUAAUGGGCAAACCAUUUUGGGGAAGAGCAAAUGGCCCAUACUGAAUUCCAUUUUGUGGGCCCAUCAUAGACCACCUGUCAGAAAUGAAGAAAGAAAAAUCAGGAAAAAUAUAUUUGACAUACUAUUUUUAGGAAUUAAAUGAUGAGAAUUCAGUUAGAAUUUAUUUCUUUUUUUGUUUUUGUUAAGUUCUGUUACUGACCUGUACUUUGUGGUCAAAUGAUGUACAAGAACCAAAAUCUCCAGCUUGGCUAAUUCAUUCCCUGGACAUGAGUGGACCCCAUUGCCAAAUGGCAUGAAAGUAUUGGGCUUUGGUGACACCUGUCACAUAAAAUGAUUUGUCUCAGAUAAUAUGAUUUUUGUUGGGAAAAAAAGUAAAUAACUAAAUCUAAAGAUUUGAGUAUUAUUUUCUCUGAUAUUUACCUCAAAUCUUGAAGGAUCAAAUUUCUCUGGCUCAGGAAAAUUGUCUGGGCUGUGGUGAAUGUUUCUAAAGAGUGGUAGUACUUUCCAUCCUUUAGGUAUUAAAUAUCCUGAAAUUAUCAAAAGAAAAUAAAAAAAAUUAACAAAUAUAACAGGAAAAGAGUAUUUUUUUUAAAUAUCUAAAAUAGGAAAAUGAUAGUUUUGACUUGAAAAAAUCACAAGGGGUCAAAAUUCACCUUCAAAUUCAACAUCUUCAACAGCUUCUCUGAAAGUAAAAGAUAAGAUAGAAGCAACUCUGAGUGUUUCUUGAAUCACUCUUGUAGUCAAAGGCAUCUUUUUAGUAUCUGCCCAAUUUAGAAUUUUUUUUUCACCAUUCUCCUCUUUAUUUCUCAUUAUAGCCUCUUGUUCUUCCUGUAAAAUAAUAAUAAAAAAUUAAUAUUUCUGCUUCCUAUAAUGAAACCAUACUUAUAAAAAGUAUGGAAUUAGGAAUUUUCUUGAUUUUUCUUAGGGUAUGGAUCUUACUGUGACAGCAUGUAGGACACUAGGAUUUUCUCCGAGAAAUUUAAGGAUCCAUGUAAGAACACUAGCAGUAGUGUCUCUAGCUGCAAAAAUCACACCAAUGAUAUUAUCUGCAAUUUGUUCGUCAGUGAGUCCUUCUUUAUCUCCCAUAAAAGAACCGAGCAAAUCGGUAUGAUUUAUCUUCAUUUCCCUUCUAGUUGAGAUGAUUUUGGCAACAAUUUUUGCUAAUUCCUUCCUUGCUUUCAUUGCUUUGUUGAAUAGUGUACCAGGAAGAUUAAUUGGCAUUGAAUUGUACCCUUUUUCAAGAAUGUAAUAACACCUCUUUAGAUCUUCUCUGUACAGGAUUUCAUCUUUUCCAAAUAUUGAAAUCAAUGCAACGUUGAAUGUAUACUGCAAAUGACCAAAAAUGUAGAAAACAAGUUUAGUAAACUAUCCAAAAUGCAGCAUUCAAUAACAGAGUAAAAACAAACAGGGGACUCUGUUUUUCCCCUGUUCUUUGGUAAGUUUUAGUUGUAGGAAAUUUGAGAACAUACUGUCUUCAUUUCUUGAUAAGUGUUGAUUAAUCUUCCUUCGAAUGAUUCGAGCGUAGUUUUGGCGAUGGGUUCGAUAUCUGGGACGAUGUUUCUGAUCGAUUCAGGCAUGAAAGCACGAAGUACUAAUUUCCUCAACUUAGCAUGGUAAUCACCUUGAUGAAAGAAAAUUGCUUGUUUUCCCAACAUUCUCUCUUUACUAGCUGGAAAUGUAGGCUUAAAUAAGUUAGCUCUUGUGACUAAAACUUGUUUAGCUGCUUCAGGACUUGAUAUCAUCACACAUUUACAACCCAAUAUGUGAGUCUUGAAUAUUGAACCAUACCUAUAAAAAAACAAAAAAAAAAAACAACCCAUUUUUCAUUAGCAAAUUGAGAUCAAGAAAAUCAAGAGAAAACUAAAGAAAGUGAGUGAAUUGUUUACUAACUUUUUGACUUUGGAGGCAAAGAAAACAUUGGGAUUUUGAGAGUAAAGUUGGAAAGUUUCUCCAAUAUAAGGCCAACCCAAAGUGCCAGGAGGAAGAGGCAAUUUCUUGGCAGCAAAAGCCAAGAACUUGAAGAUUGAAUGGAUAAGAAGAAGAGAGAAAGAAACAAUAGCAAAUAAGCAGAACAUAGAAACAAACUCCAUGUUUUUCCUUUAAGUUUCAACAGACAAAAGGUACUAAAAACAAGUACUUCAAAUGUUGUUUGGUGCUAGGUUGCUAGUUUGAAACUUUGAUGGUUUAAUGAAUGAAAAAAACCAAGUGCAAAGGGUGUAUAUAUAUAGAUAAAAUGAAAAAAGAAAUGAUUGAUGGGGUGGGGUAAGGAGUAGGGGGUGGGGUCCUUUAAUUUACAGCUUGAAUCCCACACACGGAGUCUCCUUACAGCUCAUUAUUUUGUUGUAUAUAUACAAAAUAGAAAGAGAGCGGAAAGGAGAGUGUGUGGGGCACGUGUAAGUUUGGAUAUAUGUAGAAAGUGUGUGCGAGUGAAGUAGGGGUAAGGGGUAGCCAGAAACGUUGAUUUAGGAUUUUAAAUUUGUGGAUUUCAUAUAAAAACGGGACGAAGCUAUGUAUGACCAAGGGUGGUAAACUCUUUAUCGAAAAAUUAUACUAUAUAAUAAUAAUAACUGAAUUUAUAAUUAAAUAAUUAUAAAUAUAUAAUAAAAUAUCUUAAUAUAUAUAAAAUUUAAAUAAAAAUUACUGAACUCACGUAAAUUCGUAAUUGACGCGAUAAAUCCCACCAGAGUUUUGUGGGGGGUGGGGUAUGAAAGUACAAGUUGGGGUAGGGGAAGAGUUGGUUGACUCUAUCGACUGGCAGCGUACAGAUUAUGAAAGGGCAAAAGAGGCAAAAAAGGGUAUAGAGGGGAUGAACUUGUUAUCCGUACAACCACCGUAUAGGAAUUUUAAACAAUGAUUAGCAAAGGGAAUCAAGAGUUAUAAAUAUAAAUUUAACAGAUGCAUUAAUAUUCUUUAAGAAAAAUUCCUUUUCCCAUGAGAGGUUAAGCAUGAACAAAAAAAAGUGAUAGUUGGAUUCAGUAUUUUAAUUUAAUGAGUUCAAUCUUCGGGUAUAUAUUACCGAACUCAUAUCAUAUUUUAAAUUAUAGGUUGAAAACUUAAAUUUUUUUUAAAUAAUUGAUUAAUUGUCACUAAAAAAUAUUUAUAUUUCAAGUCGAAAGUGUUGUAUUAGAUUUGAAAAUUUGAGUAUAAAUCAUAACAUUAUUUUUAUAAGAUUUGAUAACUUUUCAUAUAUAUACAUAUUUCAUGCUGAAAAUAUUGGAUUGGAUUGAAAUUUGAAUUAUGAACUGAUCAAAAUAGGUUGAACCUAAAAUAAUUUACCAAACUAUUAGAUCAAAACGGAUCAAAAUAGUAUAAAUGUAUAAUCAUAGGUCGAAAAGCCACCAAAGCCUAACAUACAGAAUCAUAUUUGAAGAUGGGAAAUUAUGAAAAUUUGAAAGAAUUUAAACUUAAAAAAAACUUUUGCAUUCAAUUUUUUUUUCUUUCAAAAAGCAAACUAAAAAAGGAGGGGAGUUAGGUCAUAUUAGACGGGUUUGAUUAUGACCCGUUAUUUCACUUAUCCUAACUUCAAAUAAUUUUGGCAUGUUAGGUCAUACUCAUUUUUUUAAUAACCCGUUUUGACUCGCUCUAAUUUAACUGGUUGCCUCUUAAUUUCCUCAAACUUUAACCUUUUUCUAUUGUUUCUGAAAUUACCAUACAUAUUAAAUGCAAGGUUGAAGGAGACUCGAAGCAUGAAUACUCCAUGUAUUAUGAGAUUUCUCUAUUAUUAUAAUAUGAGUAUAAAGUUUAUUUUUGUUGUGUUGCCACGUGUUUGGUUGAAUAUGGAUUCAACUUGAUGUUUGACUUGACCACAUCCUAGUUACAUGGGUUGAUUUUAGACUUGACAACUUGAAGUAUUAUAAAACUAAGAGAAGAUAUUAAAAAAUGGUGAAAAUUAUUUACUCCCCUCUCAAUUUUGAGCAGUACACGUUCUCUCCUGCAUAUGUAAAUUGUAAAAUAUUUAUUUUACCCUUAAACUCAACCUUUGUCUUUUUCUUUUACUUCUUUAAGAUAAUGAUUUUUUUUCCUUUUAAAUCUAUGUAACAGACUUAUCUAUAAAAAAAUAAAUAUGUUUUUCAAGACAAAGAAAGAAAAGUGAAAAAUAGUAAUUAAUUAUUUACUAUGAAAAAAAAUUAAAAGUAAUAUUUUUGGAUAAGUCUACAGUCACCGAGUUUGACCUGGAAAAGGGAAAAAAAGCUUAAUUCGUCAAUUUUGGAACCAAUGGGUAUGUAAUUACUACUAAUUAGAAAAUUCAACAGUUGAUUAAUCAUGCCCUUUAGAAAAACAAAAAAACCGUCAUGAAUAUAGUGUUUCAUAACUGCUUGAUUUGUAAAUUCACCAUUUUGAACCACAGAAUUUCUUUACUUUCAAUCUUAUAAGCAUGAGCUAUCGACCUUGUUUACCAAGUUCUUACAGCUUGUAAUUUUCCACCUAAAUCUUCUUUGUUUCUUACUUAUAAAAAAAUCAUGCCCUUGUCAUUUAGCAAUACUGCUUUUUCCAGCCUUGGAGCAUGGUAAGCUGUUUUUGUAUGACCUGUAGGUUACGGGUUCGAGUUGUGGAAUCAAUCAUUGAUGUUUGUAUCAGAAUAGAAUGCCUAUAUCACAUUCUUUGGGUGCGGCCCUUCCCCAGCGUGAAUGGGGGAUUGAUUACCCAUAAAACGGUAUAGUUGAAUUUAUACUUGGUCCUAAAAUAAUAAAAUAAACAGAGAAUUAUGCAAUACCUAGCCGUAGGAUGUAGACGAAAUAACAAAAGCAACAGUUCCGGGCACAAUAACAACGAAAUCAAAAAGUAAGAAGAUAAGAUUGUAUUGAGCUUUGUAUAAAAUGUAGCAUAAAUUUUCCAGAAAAUUCCUCCGCUUUACAAUGAUAACUGAUCUCACUAUUUAUAGCUAUGUCUAGGGAAGGAGGUUCAAGGAUCGUGCCCUCUUUAAGGUUAAUUAUGAGGGACAUUGAUGAAUAUGUAACGGUAAACAUAAAUGCCAAAUUUCCUGUAACGGGUAACUACUCUUAAUACCAUGAAAUAUUUUCUAUUAAAUGCUAUCGGGCGAAAAGCAUUUAUCAUAUCUUUAUGAGCGUUAUUCUUUCCGGUGACAAACAAAACAAUUGCAUUCGGUCUUUGGCCAUCUCCGUAUUUGGUUCCACGUGUCCCUUUUUUGGAUGGCCACGUGUCAUAAUAUAUUUUACCCUAUACAGAUACAUUGCGUGAAACUAGUACAUGUUUAUCAUGUGUUGUGAACAAAUUACUGAUAGAAAACUUUUUGUAAGAACAAAAUUUGGGAAAAAUUAUAGUUGAUGCCAUUUUUCAAUCAUUAUAAAAUGCAGACUCAGUCAAAAUUAUCAUGUAAGGAAAGGACAUAUCCUUUGAAACAAAUCUAGAUAAUGGGUUCAAGAGAAUUUAUUGUUUUUUCCUAUUGGGGUAAAAGGUCAAUAAAAUUGAUAAUAUCCUGUUUUUCUUUAUCUACUAGCUAUUUCUAUGUUUAGAAAGGUCAAAAGAAACUGUCCGAAUGGAAUAUGAUUCUACACCCUUUAUCUGUUAAUUUUGAUUAAAUAUGAUGCAAUGUUAAAUCAUAUAUGAACCAUUUGAGAGAACUUUUUUUGGCCUAUACUAGAAGAGAGAAAGCUUAUAGUAGUAACUAAAUUAGUACCAUUUCCUUGGGGAAAUUCAAUUAGUGCCUAAACUCCUUAAGGGAUCGUUUGGUUUGCUACACUAACAAAAUUUUUCCGAACAUAACAUUUGGCAUUAGUAAUACCAUGUUUGGUUUGUUAUGCAAAGAAAAAGUAAACGCUGAAUAAUUUAGUAAAUUGUUUGAUUGGCUCUAUUAAAUGCUACCGGGCGAAGAGCAUUUAUCACAUCUUUAUGAGCAUUAUUCUUUCCGGUGAUAAACGAAACAGUUGCCUUCGGUCUUUGGCCAUCCCCCGUCUUGGGUUCUACGUGUCCCUUUUUUGGAUGGUCACGUAUCAUAGUAUUUUUUACCCAAUACAGAUAGUCUCACUGCUUUCCGGUGACAUAACUUUGUGUUACCGAAAAGUUGGUAGAAAUACACUUUUGGCGAGAAUUACUAUAAUUCCCUCUGAAGGCUUCUGGCGGUUAAUUAGACGCACGUCUCUCCGCAUUUAAUGACCCGAACAAGCGUUAUCCCAUGAUUUAGCACAACUUUUGCCGAUUAUCGAGGUAAUCAUGGCCAUGAAUUUAGCCGCCAUUACUUUUACUUAUACGUAUCAACCUUCUCCCUUAUAUUUCAUAAUUUUUCAAGCUUCCCUUUUCUAACUUGCAUCUUGCUCUUCAUCUUUUCUCUAAUUCUCUUCAAACAAAAAACCUUCUGCUUCUUCCAUACAAUGGCUUCUUCCUCAAAGUGUACUGGUCUUUCAAAGAGCAAGAACAAGACCGAGGACUCUGGUCCUCCAACAGUGGGCUCCAUCAUCCCUAGAAGUCUUAUUACCACAAAAGACUUCGAAGAGAAAUUCCCUACUGCUAACUCUCGUACAUGGGUCGCCAGUAGGUAUCCUUCUUCCAUACGUCCUUCUAGCAUUCCUGCUGUGAAGGAAGACUGCCGCUAUCAUGCAUGACUUGGAUAUUAUUGCUCCUGAUCUAUCAGAGCGAGUCACCCUACCCAAGGAGGGUUUUACAUAUUUUUACACGUAUCCCUUUAUUUUGGAAGCGUUCUCUUCGAGUGGAGAGCUUGACUCCGUGAUUGUGGAGUUUUGCCUCCACUACCAAGUGUGUUUGGCACAAGUAAGUCCUUCUGUGUGGAGGACGGUUGCUUGUCUUCGGCGUUUGUGCCAGGAGAUUGGAGAGGAGCUAACCUUAGCUCAUAUGAUGAAUCUCUAUUCUCCCAAAAUCAUCCGCGGGGGAAUGAUAAACCUCUGCAAGCAUGGCCACCAUGCUCUAUUGUCUAGCAUGGAUGAUGACAACGACCAUGGGUGGAUGGAACGGUUCAUUGCAGAUACCACCAACGACAUUAUUUCGGCAACGGCUCCAUCAUUUCCGGCCACUUGAAAUCGUACUCGUAAGCUCUUUGUUUAAUAUUUCCUUUUACUAAAUAUUUUUCUAUAGCCGUAUUGAUCCUCCAUCCUUCGCCUGUUUUAGCAACUCGAUGGAUCCCACUAGUGAUUGAAGGUUUGGAUUGGUGGUUACAAAAGAUCUUGGACGUUACGACACCCGAGACUUACUUGUGGAAAGAACUGGUCCCCAAAUACGGGUGGAAGGCCAAGAAUUAUGGUAAUUCAAACUCACCUUGUUUAAAUUUUUUAUGUAAAGAACUUGAUUGAUCUCUUCUAACUUGUCUAUGAAAUUAGGUCUACCCGCGGGCUCUGUUGCUGUUACCGAGGAGAAUGUCUUGGCUGAUCAUGCUGAUCCAGUGAGGCUGCUCCAGGAGGCGCUUACUCGAACAUGUGUCUCUGGGCUUGCUUUCGGAGCAAAUGUUUCUUUACGGAGUCCCCGGCCGGAAUACAAACAACCAAAGAGAAGACGCUCCUCCGCAGCCGGGGAAAAGAAUAAUAGGGCGAGGACCGAUGCCCCUGAGUCAUUUCCAGUAGCAAUGGUGACUGGACCUCCUUACGGGCCGGUCAUAGACACUGUGAUGAUCGACGAUGAUGAAGAAGCUAGUGAUAAGGGAGCUUCUCUACAUAGAAGACGACGAUCCUCAUCAUCUCAAUAGGAUGCUCGACUUGUUGAGAUAGUUACACCAAUCUAGGACGAUGCCUUGGCACUUUGGGGAGAGUUUGAUUUGGUAGAUAAUGUCAACUCCCAUUUUUGGGCCCCAAUUGAUGUGCCCAGUACUACAGAGGUGAGUACCUGGUCCCUGCCGUCUUUGGUUUGCGAGCAUUCAACAACCAGCACUGCAUUUGAUGCAGGUGCUUCUCAGUCUUGAACUCCAUCAGCUUCAUCUCCAUUUUAACCAACACUAGCAACUGCUAUAUCACUUCCAUCUUCAUCCACUCUUCCACCAGCAAUUGCUACAUCAUCUCCACUGGCCACACCUUACCACAAAGAAGGUGUUUCUCUUCCACAGUCCCUAGUUCAUGGGAAUUUGGGGCAAAUUAUGCUGCCUCUUCUGAAGAUCCACAAAGGAGUAGAAAUGUUACUCUUUCGAUCUCUACCGGAUGCAACUUGCUAUCCCGGCCGGUGAAUCUUGCUAAUUAUCUUAAACAUUUGGCUUCAGAGAAAGACUGGGAAAAGAUUCAGACACUCUUAGGAGAGUAUUUAUUGAACAACUCCAUGCACAACGCCGCAGCGGUACGUUGCUUUCUUCCUUUAUUACUUCUUCUAUUUUUGGGUAUGAACAUAUCCUGAAUUUUACUCUUCUUACUUUAUGGGCCAACUUUCUUGCUUCCAAGGGCAUUCAGAGGUUGAUUCGUGAAAAGGAAGAGAUUACCUCCGCACGUGAUCGACUUUUGGCAGAGCAGGAGCAACAUGUCGCUCGCCUUUUGGAAUUGGAAGCCAAAGCUGUUCAGGUUGUUGUAUUGGAGGCUCAUUUGCGGCAAAACGAGCAAGAAGUGGUAAUCAUUAGUCAAGAAAUUGGCUCGCUGAGGGUUAGAUUUGACGAAACCAGAGCUAAAUGGGCUAAGUUCAGAACGUCGUUCUUGCUGCAACCGAAUGCGAGGCCACCUCCGCUGAAAGAGUGAUCAACUUAGAGGCAGACUUGAACUCCAAAAUUGAAGAGCUUGCUGCUACGGGGGCGAAACACGCCCAGUUGGAAGAGAAGUACAGGAAAACUAUCAAGCAUAAUAGGCUUUUUAGUUCAACUAUCCGUGACCUUGAUGUUAGCCUCAAAUCUACUAGGUCUGCCCGGGAAAACCUUUCUGUCGAGGUAACCCAACUCAAAGAAGAACUUAAGCGUCGAGCGACUUCCCUCGUUGUUGAGAAAACUUACGCUAUGUACAAUAUGAUGAGAAAAACCUUGGAAGAGGCAAAAGCUGGUGUCAUUGAUUUUGAUGCCAAACUUGCUAAGGCCCGUGAGCUUGAGUUAGUUGCUAAAAGUGGACUCCUAGCGGGGUCUGAUGCACCUAGUCCUUCUAGUUUUGAAUCCGGUUCUCGAGAACUGAAGAAGAAUUGGAGGAUGAUGAUGCUGAAGGCCAAAUUGGUGAAAAUGUUGAGUCAUUGGUGGGUCCGUCUACUUCUCCCGGGGGCGCGGACGAUUCUCUUCCUCCUGGUUUCGGAGAUACUGCAGUUUAGCUUUUCUUUUCUUUCUCAAUUCUUGUACAUGUGCCGUUUUGACAUAUUUUUAUAAAUAAAAACAUCUUUUGCUCAAUUAUUGUUUGAGUCUUCCUUUCGUUUGAAUAUUCAUGCAAGUGUUUAAUAUUUGCAUUGUUUUCCUUUUUCUUUAGAAUUUUUCGCAAGCUUUUCUGUUUUGCAUCUUAUUAUGUGAAGCCUUGGGUGUAUUCUCCCCAAAAUCAUUCUUGGCUCUUGGCGUCAGCUCUUUUUCGUAAGGGCUUUGAUAAGUAUUUGCGCAAGUUUUUUCUUUUUUGCGUUCUUUCAUAAACGGCUUCGGGUGUAUCUUUCCCCGAAGGCAUUUUGAUUCCAGGCAUAAAUUCUUCCGAAACGAACCCUUUAACGUGAGCGUUUUUAUAAGAGAGAUCCCUCUUAUGUUUACGGUGCUCUUGAAGAAGACGUCUCAUGUUCAUUACGGCACUAGCAUUUGAAGUACUUGUUUAACUUUUAAAUGACAAAGUUAAUUCAUCGUUCAGACAAGAAACAAGAUAAAAACAAAAGGAUUUCAUUUUAUUCCUUUAUUUUCAAAAAGUACAUAAGCAUUUGCUAUGCUGAAAAGAAAUAUCCAUUACUUGUGGCUAACUUGUACAACUUGUUUCUACGGGGCUGGCAGCGCAGUCCCCGAUCCCGAUGUUGCAAUUAUAUUUCCGAUUUUUUUUUCCCGGUCGACGUGGCAGUCAUUGUUGCCGUAUCCUCAUAUCAUUCCCCCCAGUGUUCGAAUGCGAAGAGUGCAAAUUGGUACACUAGAAGUCUUGUAUCUUCGAAGAUUCCACUAAUGCAUUGCUAGAUAAUCCUUAACUUGGUAACAUACUUUACUUUCCCUUAGGAAUUUAUGCUAUCAAGCGAAGGACUAUCUAACAACCCUCUAGUAGUUGUUGCUAGUGAACGAUCGGGUAACCUUUGCUCAAUAGCAAACUUAACUUCCCGGUGGAAAUUUGGUAUAGUGCAAAAUAUUAUCUAACCAUUCCCGAGUGGAUCUUUGCUUGUGUGCCUGGCUAUUAAAGGUCUUAUUGCUACUCUCUUCGUAGUAUGCUUUCUGUUGCUGCCUCGUUAAAAAACUUACUAGAAAAACUCAAUUGGGACAAAAACUGAAUUAAGGAAAAAAGAGUGCAGCACAUACUUUUUGAUCGGAUAAUGUUCAUCAGCAAUAAUAUCUAUUGAGGUGUGCCACGUUCUAAUUGCUGGGCAACUUUUCUCCAUUUUGGUUUUCCAACUCGUAUGAACCUUUCCCGAUAAUAGCUGAAACCCGGUAGGGGCCUUCCCACAUUGGACCUAGCUUCCCCGCGUUGAGCUUCCGGGUAUUUUGAGUUACUUUCCUUAGGACCAAGUCUCCUACUUUAAAAUAACAGAGGUUGGCUCUUGGAUUAUAAUACCGCUCUAUUCUCUGCUUUUGAGCUACCAUUCUUACAUGCGCUGUUACGCCCCAAAAUCGUGGAGCGCGACCGGCGCUCAGCCGAGUGGACCAAGUCGAGCAAGCCUGUUAGACAUUAUCUAUCCAACUCACCUAUGAUCCAGAGAGGGCAUGCUCUCAUUAGUUAGACAGUAGAAAGCUCAUACAUAUAUACAUUACUAAGCCGUUUCAUUUUGUUACAUCAUUGUUAAGUCUCAAAAUACAUACAUCCUUAUGACUGAGCGGAACAAGAGCCAAAAAUACAACAUGAUCUGUUGACCUUUCUAACACCCAUAUACAACCCACAUAGUGUCUACGGAGCCUCUAAAGAUACAAAAGAGAGUAAAGAUGGUGCCGGUAAUAAGUCCCCGGCUAUACCUCAAAACACAUGAGAAACAAAAGAUGCACAACCCCGAAAUGAUAUGGGGCUCACCAAGUCAGCUGGGAGGAAUGAGCACUGCUAUCACUGGUCAGUGUCCUCCGCUGUGGAACCACCUGCAUCCAUUAAAGAUGCAGCGCCCCUGGCAAAAGGGACGUUAGUACAUGUCAAAUAGUACUAGUAUGAAAAUCAAACAUCAAUUUAAGAACUCGGAAGUACAAUAUAAAUAUGACGAAUCAAGGCGACAAUAGAAUAGCAAAGAUAGCCGUUUAAACCAAAGAAAGCUUGUCCAGAGCAGUCAUUAACAUUUAUAGGAUUUAAGAUGAGAUCCUCUGUAACCAUUUCCAUAAAAAGCGGCCCCGCCGCCUCACCCCAGUGUAUGCGGGUGGAGGUGUAAACACAAUACCAAAAUUCUACUCAAGCGGCCCUACUGCCUCACCCCAAUGUAUACGGGUGGAGGUGUAAACACAAUACCCAUUUUCACACAAAACGGCCUUGCCGCCUCACCUCUCUCUCUGUAUGUGUGUGUGUAUAUGUGUGUGUGUGUGUGUGUGUGUGUAUGUGUGUGUGUGUGUGUGUGUGNNNNNNNNNNNNNNNNNNNNNNNNNNNNNNNNNNNNNNNNNNNNNNNNNNNNNNNNNNNNNNNNNNNNNNNNNNNNNNNNNNNNNNNNNNNNNNNNNNNNNNNNNNNNNNNNNNNNNNNNNNNNNNNNNNNNNNNNNNNNNNNNNNNNNNNNNNNNNNNNNNNNNNNNNNNNNNNNNNNNNNNNNNNNNNNNNNNNNNNNNNNNNNNNNNNNNNNNNNNNNNNNNNNNNNNNNNNNNNNNNNNNNNNNNNNNNNNNNNNNNNNNNNNNNNNNNNNNNNNNNNNNNNNNNNNNNNNNNNNNNNNNNNNNNNNNNNNNNNNNNNNNNNNNNNNNNNNNNNNNNNNNNNNNNNNNNNNNNNNNNNNNNNNNNNNNNNNNNNNNNNNNNNNNNNNNNNNNNNNNNNNNNNNNNNNNNNNNNNNNNNNNNNNNNNNNNNNNNNNNNNNNNNNNNNNNNNNNNNNNNNNNNNNNUCAUACACAAAGUUGCCCUGCCGCCUCACCCCAAUAUAUGUGGAUGGAGGUGUAACCCCAAUCACAAUCUCUACACAAUUUGGCAAAAUAAUUUUCCACAUAAAUCAUGACUUGGAAUAAUAACACGUAGAUACACAAUCCAUAGUUUGGAACACAUCUUCAAUUUAUAAUACAGUAUCAUGAGAGCAUUUGAAACACGAAUUAUCUUUAUCACAAAACUUAUUCAGAAUACUCAACUUGUAAUAAAUAUCUUGGAACUUACAAGAACAUUGGGGUUCCAAUUCUUAAAGAAAAGUUUAGCCAACAUACCUCAAUGGAGCUUCCUUAAACUCUAAAAUAUUCCAAAAUUCUUAGCAACUUCAAUCUAUUUUAGAAAUAUAACAAAUUGAACCAAAAAUUAGGAGGAUGAUCAUAGUUCUAGCUCAUUUGAGCAUUUUAUCAAACACUAGGUGUGUAUUAAGGUUUUAAGGUCCUUUGAUGGAGGAUUCCAUCAUUUCCCCAACCCAUUCUCUACUAUUUUUAGCUCACAAGCUCCCACAUUCUUUGAUAAUACAUGCAUGCAAGAUAACAACCCCCACACCCAAUAUUUGUCUCUCUAUUUAACCUAUUUUUGUAAAAUUUUGAAAUUGAGAGCUAGGACAUAGAUUCUUACCUUUAGGGUGAAGAUUUCCUUUGUUAAUCCUUAAUGGUUGAGAAAGAAUUGAUGGAUAAUAGUUUGAAGGUUGCCCCCUCACUCUAAGAACUCUCUUUCUCUCACUCUAAAAUAUGAGAAAUGUGCUCAAAAUGAGCUAUGGUACGUGUUUUAAUGAAAUAGGGUCGGGUUUAAAAUCCCCAAAAAUGAAGCUCUGAAACAAGGUCUGCGAUCGCAUAUGCGAUCGCAGAAUCGAUAUGCGGAUCGCAUAUCGGCCGCAUAAUUGGUGUCCAGAGCUGGCCAAAAAUCUGCCUGAGUUUGCAGUCACUAUGCGGCCCGCAGACCUGUUCUUCAUAUGCCUCGAAAUAUUUCAAGGUGGGUUCCCCGUCUUCCAUCGGGAUUAAAGCUUCUGCACCGUGCACGAGGGAGAAAGGGGUUUCCCCUAUGCUCGACUUGGCCGUAGUCCGGUAUGCCCAUAGAACUCUAGGUAAUUCCUCGGGCCAGUUACCCUUAGCCGCUUCCAACCUUUUCUUGAGGUUUUGAAUAAUCCCUUUGUUCGUCGAUUCCGCUUGACCGUUUGCGCUCGGAUGAUAGGGUGAAGAUGCGAUACUAUUUAUUUUUAAAUCUUUGAGGAACUUUGUAAUUUUUGCACCGAUAAAGUGUGGCACGUUGUCUCAUGCUAUCUCUUUUGGUAUUCCGAACCUGCAAAUUAUAUUUUCCCACAAGAAAUCCACCACUUAGCGUUCUCCGAUCUUCUGAUAAGGACCUGCUUCCAUCCACUUAAAAAAAUAGUCAGUCAAAAUUAAAAGAAAUCUUACCUUUCCGGGAGCCGGUGGCAGUGGUCCGACGAUGUCCAUCCCCCAUUUCAUGAACGGCCACGGGGACAGAAUCGAAUGUAAGGGUUCUACCGGUUGAUGCACCAGUGGUGCGUAGCGUUGACACUUAUCACAUUUUCGUACGAAGUCUUUGGCGUCUUGUUCCACGCGGGGCCAAUAAUAUCAUGCCUUUACCAACUUCAGCACUAAGGAAUCUAUGCCCGAGUGGUUGUCGCAUAUCCUUUCGUGAACCUCUCUCAUGACAUAGUUAGCUUCGGAUGCCCCUAAGCAUCUGGCCAGGGGGGCUUGAAAAUAUUUUCUAUACAAUUGGCCCCUCUUGAAUCUAUAUCGCAAUACUUUAGCGCGCAGCUGAUUGCGUCCAAAUGCACACCUCAAAAGCGGUUGUUUGCAAUUAGAAACCCAACUAAGAGUCAAGGUUGAAUCUAUAUAGAGCUAAGAUGGGAGUUAGGGAUAUAUAUUUCAAUGUGCGUGAUUGAAUUAUCGAGAUUGCACUUUCACAAAUAGAUUGGCUUUCUAUUUCUAAUUGUAGUCUAUUGAUUGCAAAAUAAAGAAAGAAGACUAGAGAUAAUUAUUUUUGGGGUUUUUCCAAAUUGAUAAAAAGCCUAGGGCUGUGACCAUUACCUGGGUGUUUACCUAAUGGGAUAAAGACUUUAAUACUUGGUUUGUUGACGGGGUUAUUAUAACUGUCAACUCUAAAUUACCCACUCAAACCUAUAGGUGAGAGAGUGGUUUUACCCAAUUUGGCUUUCUCAAGACCAAAUGGGUAUCACACAAAACAAUUGAUAAAAUCUCAAGUCGGGUUAUUACUAUCGCUAGGUUGAACCCUUUAAUUAGGUAAAUCAAUCUCUUAAUUGACCCAAUUCCUUGUUGGCCAAGUUAUCCUAGACUAGAUGUCUCUUUCUCAAGAAGAGACUAAGUCAAAUAGGCAUGAACUAAUGCUUGCAACCAUUAAUUCCUCAAAUUAAGCAUGAACUAAGCUAAAUAAUAAACACCCAAUCAUAAAUAAGUACUAAAUUAAAUACCCAUAAGGUUUGCACACUAGGGUUGGGUCACAACCCUAGUAAAAAUCGAGUUACUCAUACUUGGGUUUGACGAAAAUGAGGAAGAAAGACUAAUUAAACUCAUAAUGAAAGAUUAAAAUGGCUAAAUCUAUUGUAAAAUACACCAAAGCAAAGUAAACUUCCAAAAAAGGCAAAAACAAACGGCUACAGUAAUUGCUGAUUUUCAAAACUUGACCUAAUUUUAUGAAACUCACCUAUACAAGGCUGAGAAUCUCGGACAAAAAUACCCCUCGGGAGGUUCUGCGGCCGCACAAUUCCAUGUGCGGUCUGCAGAUUUCUUCAUCUGUCAGGAGAUGGAUUUAUGCGGCCGCACAAUUCUAAAUUGCGGCUGCGAAGCAACUUUUCUGCGGUCCGCAGAUUUAGAACUGCGGCCGCAAGACACUCUUCUGCGGUCUGCAAUGUUAAGGAUACGGCCUCCAGUCAAUCUUCUGCGGCCACACAAAUAUUGUACGGUCCGUAAUGCACUGAGAUUCUGGACUUGGUAAUUUGCAUACUCUCUGAUCUUGACUCAUAGCCCAACUUUUGUGGCCGCAUAAUUCAUGUGCGGUCUGCAAUUUGCACAAUUGUCUGCAGAUUUUGCCUUCUUUGGUUGCGGCCGCAGAUGGAAUUUUGUGGUCCGCAAUUUCUUCUGCGGACCGCACAUUUAGUGCUUCUGUGCUCUUUUAUUGCCUUAUGCUUAGACUGCUCCCUUUUUAGUCGAAUUUCAUCUCGGGAGCUAAACUUUCAGCAUUCCUGCAAUUUUGCACAAUUUUAAUUGUUCCUGGAACACAAUUCAGUGCUUUUAGACUAUAACAAAAAUUAAAAUAUGCUAAUAAGUAGUCAAAAUCCCCACUUAUCAACUCCCCCAAACUUAAGUCUUUGCUUGUCCUCAAGCAAACAAUUCAGUUCCCACCUCCAAAAGUUAAGGGUCAUUUCAGCAAGUCGAAGAUGAGCCAUCCACACAUCAGUUGGUACCAACAAUUACCCACACUACUUAUGUAUUAUCAACAAGGCGACAAGUUAAACAUUUGUGCACAUAUAGUUCUAGAGUGACAUUUGAGCAUCAUGUUGGAUUCCAAACUCUUCCUCCUCUACUUUCUAGUUACCUCGCUCAUUUAAGAAUUUUAGCACUCAAUCCAUAGAUUUAUGAAAGGUUCACUCAUCUCUCUCAAGAGAAUGUCGCAAGUACGACUUCAAGUACUAUAGGCUUGCCCCUCAUGUUGAUGGCCACUAAUGUAAUCUCACUCGGCUCGAGAUCAAAUAGAACUUCUUUCAGGAUGUAAUGGAGGCUUUUGGAUUAGGGUUGGAUACAAUAUGGUUGAGUUGUUACACCUUUCCUUAGGCACUCCAUUUUUUAUUUUUUUAUUCUCGGCUCAUAUUUUGCCUAUUCUUUGAGGCACUUUCUUUUCCUUGGGGAAAUAGAGAGACUUAACAUCACUCUUUCUUGAUCAUUACAUUCAUUUUCUCCUUCUUUGAUUUCUCCAUGUUUGGGAUCAUUACCUCUCUAUGAAUCCCUUCAAACUUUCCACUUAUUCACUUUUUUGCAUUUUUCUUUUUGUUUUUUUCUUUUCUUGCCUUUACGUCUCAUCAUUUCUUUUCUUUUUUUGUUCGUUGAUACCUUUUUCAAUUUCCUCGUCUCUCCCUCAAACUUACAUUUUUAGCCAAUUAUUUCACAUGAAUUUUAAGGAAAGCUCGGGUGCCAAGAGAGGGUCACGACAAAACGGGUAAAAGCUUGUAACAUGGUUAUCAAAUGAGAAAGGCUCGAGGCUCAAUGGGUUGACUAGGGAUAACAAUAUUGGUAGGCAAUAGAGAAUUCAAACAGGCCAAGGAAAGCCUACAAUCACUUCUCAAUCAAAGCAACACUUAGGAUUUCGCCUUGAAACACAUUCGGGGUAAGUUCUAGACCUUUCGCACGGGUACUUGGACUAGCAACAAAGUAUCUCACCCCUCACACAACUGAAUUGUUAAAGAGGAUAGAGUCGAGGGCCCACAACGACCAUAUUCAAGAUUAAAAAUCACUAUGGUUCAAUUGAACCACUCGAUGGUUGCCAAAGUCAACACAAGAGUCACCAAGUCACUAACUAGAGCUUUUGUUUUCAAAAACAAGGUUUCUAACCAAAAGCACGUAGUUAAGCGUGUUGGUACCAAUUGAAGCAUGUUCAAUUCUUCUAGCAUGACUUAAUUAGGUCUUUUUAUUCAUUACUACUACUAUUAUUACCUAAAAACAAAAAAUGGAUUCAUUCCCUUAAGAAGGUUGUCACGCCAUCCAUCGUUGGGAUGAGUCACUCAGUUUACACAACAACUACCUUUGGAAAGAACCGUGACAUUAAGAAAACCAAAGGCUUAUUGUCUACUAAAACAUAGAAAGAAGUUACUAACUCAAACUACAAACUAAUAAUGAAACCAAAAAUAAAGAAGCUAAUUAAACAAAAACUACUGAAUAUACAUAAUGAGAGAAAAAGAGAGAAUAUAUACAUAAUAAGAAAGAGAAAGAAAAUAAAAUCAAGUUAUUACCGGCCAAUUGUCUUAGAAUGUACCAAAUAUCAUCAAAAUAAACUCCACCCCCCCUACGAAUAAAAAUAAGCAUUGUCCCUAAUGCUUAACAAAAUAAGAGUAAAAGAGGUGAAAGAGUGAAGAAAACUCCCUAUGGCUCCUUGGACAUCUCUAUGUCCACAGCAAUGUCACUGCCCUCAGUCUCAUCCAAGUAGAUCUCAUCAUCCUCAGCUCUGGGUGUGAAUGGGUUGGUGAACAUCUGUCGCACUACCUCAGCAGUGUUGGCAGUAGAGUUAGGCUCUUCAGACUAGCCAACUGGUGCUACCGGUGCUGCAGGAUCUGGGCCUGAAGGGUGUGGAUUAAUCAACAUGUCAAAAGGGAUAUUUCCGGAUGCAGCAAGCUUGGUCACCUACCUUCGGAGCUUUUCCACUGACUUCUUACUAUCCUAGGACUUUCUCAUCUUCUUUACUUCCUUGCCCAACUCUUCGAUGACUGACCCGUGCUAUACCAAAGUAGCCAUGAAGGUGUUCUGGUUCUCUAGGAGCUUCUUUAAUGUCUCCUCAACUGUCGAGGGAAUCUGAGGUGCCUGAACUGAAGAUUGUAUUGUAACAGUACUAGAUAGGUCAGACAACUUUACAGUGGUUAUGUGUAUCCAGUUGUUGAGGCUCACCAAUGUCUGGGAGACUCGCAGUGCAGAAAGUGGAGCAGUAGGCAUGGUCGUCGGCUUUAAAGCCCAAGUGAAGACUGUGGUAAGAGCUGCGGAAGGGGCUGUGGAUGAUGGUGAAGGCAUAACUGCGGCACUAGAGGAAGGCUCGGCCGAAGUAGAUGGGAUAUAAACUCCCUCCAUAACUACCACAACUGGCUUAUCAGACUGGCCUGUGGUGGUAAACAGUCGACCUUUUCUCUUCGGUUUAAUUGCAUCCAUAAGUGAGUACCAGGAGAAAGGUUUGUUCGGUUUCACCUUUGUAUCAAAAUCCCUCUAUUCCACCCCCGCAUCCGUAAGAUACUCUGUAAUUGUGUUGGGGUACGAGUAGGAAGAAUCAUCCUGCCGGUCGAUCAUAGAGAUGUUGCUGACAACACGGCACCCACAUUGAUAUGGUACCCGGCCAUGAUAGAAGCAACUAGAACUGCCCAAUGAAUCGGGAGAUAGGUCUCAUUCUGGCUCGCGUCCAGUCUACUGCAGACAAAGAUUUGCCACCCCUUUGCCUCAAAGCUCAAAGUGCUCCUAUGAAUAGGAACCCCUGGUGUGAUCCAUGGCGGUGGUGGCCCAGGAGUUGCUAAAAUAUCUGCUAAAAUAGGUCGGGCUGCAUCUUCCAUUGUAUACUUCUCUAAAUAUUCUAUCGGCUCUACAUCUUCGAAACCUAAGUAUGUGUUGAGAGUGGCUUGAUCAAACCUCACUUUUAAGGUUACGCACUUUGGUUACGCACUUUGGUUACCUUUGUCCCCUUCUUAAUAUGUGCCAUAUUGGUGUAGAAUUCCCGAACAAGAUAUUUUUUGGCAUCCACCACACUCUGGGUGUACCACAUCUACCCCUUGCUUUCCUUGAAUUGUCUCAACACUGCCGGGUUAUAUUUCUCCAAAUCCUUCAACUGAAAUUGUCACUCAAGAGUAAGCAACGUCACUGGCCACCACUAACGGAAGAUGGUGAAGGCAGCCAAACUGACAAACCGGUCCUCCCAAACCUCUUUCUUCUUUGUUCUUUCAAGGCUGGUAAUGGUAGCAUCUCCCCCUCUACCAUCAUCAGGGAUGUCCCAAACUGAUGUCUCUGGUCCCUCAAGGGUAGGUAUAGUACAUGGAUCAGAAUCCUGACUAGAACUUUCCAAAUCCUCGGAAGUGCUGUGGGAUGAUGAUGGCUCGUCCCUCAGUUGGAAUCUCUCUGACGGCCUGGACUGUACUGCUGGUUGUUCUUGAACGGAGACUGAGUUGCCCUCUGAUACGUCCCUAGACGGGGCGUAUAAACAUUUCUCAGAGAGAUCUGCCCCUCUCCGUCUCCCAGCUACUGUCUUUUUUCUGAUUUCAUGUUGUUGGGCACUAGCUAAGGGUCUCUUGCCUCGUCCCCGAGAAGGUUCACCCCUUCCUUUAGAAGUAUCACCUCUACCUCUAGAUCGAACCAUUAUAUAUACCAAGCAAAUGUGAUUGUUAGUUGCAAUUCAAGUUCAGACAUACAAUGAGAUAUGUAAGCACACACCAGAAGACACAGUGAGGUACAUAGUUGAAAUAUGCUUGCAGGAUAAGGAUCUGCGGUCCGCACAUUUUUCCUUGCGGACCGCACAAUUCUCUCUUGCACCCGCAUAUGUGAAGUGCAGUGAGCACAUUUUUCAUUGCGACUGCAACUUGUAAGCCAAAAAUAUGCCAACUCUCUGAUGAUAGAGAAUUGGGUGAUGUGCGGCCGCAACCUGAUUUCUGCGGUCCGCUCAAUUCGUUUUGUGGCCGCACAUUGAAUCACAAAUAUGUACACUUCUUGGGAGACACUAAAAUAGCUGUUUUACGACCGCAAUGGAAAUUAUGCCGUCCGCACAUUUUUCCUUACGGCCGCAGACCCAAUCGUUACUUAAGUUGCCUUAAACUCAACUUCUGCGGACCGCACAAAUUUCUUGCGGCUGCAAAAUUCAAACAAUUAUGAACAGGCAGUAUGACUAACUAGGUUUUGCAAUUUUUUGAGCAAUGUUUUGACAUGGCAAUAACAUAAAAGCAUGAAAACACAUUUUCCGAGUCACCAAUAAGCAAGUAUUGGAUAACCCACUACAUAUUUACCCCCACAUGGAUGUACAGUUGAAUUCUACUGACAAAUGGCCUAAAAUUUAACUAAAACUCCAAAAAUUAAAAGAAUUUUUUUUUUUACAAGAUUGUGAAGCAUACCAAAUGAAUGAGGGUGAUGAGUUAUUGAUCAAAGAUGUUGUAUGAAUGCACAGGUAGACUCAGCAAGAACUUCAAAAGAUUACUGGAUUUUGCUCAAAGAGGGAAAAGAGUAAGAGUUACCCUAGCCCUCUAUUUAUACUUUUUUUAUUCUCUCAGGGAAAGAAGAGGAGUACGGUCGCAGAGCACCUUUUUGCUGUAACAAUCAUAAUUGUGCGGUCCGCAAUUCUUUCAACACUUCACCAGAUUUCUGUGUACAAUUCCUGUAAGGCACACUCAUCCCUGUAGCACACUUCAAAUCAAGUUAGCUAAAAAACACCUUGCUACAAUAGAAGAAAAGAAAAAGAAAUAUGGGUUUCCUCCCAAGGAGCGCCUGAUUUAACGUCGUGGUACGCCGUAAAAUACCAUCAAUUGAAAUGAAUCACCUCCACGACGUGGCCAUCUCCAACUUUUCCCAAAUAGUGCUUCACCCGGUGACCAUUGACUCGGAAUACCUCAUUAUUUUUGUUCUUCAAUUCUAAUGCACCAAAAGGCAUCACACCCACAAUUUCAAAUAGACCACUCCAUUUAGACUUUAGCUUUCCGAGAAUCAUCCUCAACCUCGAGUUGAACAACAAUACGAGAUCGCUCACUUUGAUCGCUUAGUUCCAAACAUAUUUGUCAUGAAGAUAUUUCAUAUUUUUCUUUGUACAAGGACGAACUUGCAUAAGCAUGAUACUGAAACUCAUCCAAUUCAUUCAAAUGUACAACCCUAAAGUUAGCGGCUAUAUCCCAAUCAAGAUUCAACUUCUUUAGAGCCCACAUGGCUUUGUGCUCAAGUUCCACCGGAGGAUGACAAGCUUUGCCGAACACCAACCGGUAUGGCGACAUUCCGAUAGAUGUUUUGUAAGCCGAACGAUAAGCCCAUAAUGCAUCAUCAAGUUUCUUGGACCAAUCCGUCCGAUUAACAUUCAUUAUUUUGGACAAAAUACUUUUUAUCUCCCGGUUGGAGACUUUCACUUUCCCGCUAGCUUAUGGAUGAUAGGGAUUCAUAACUUUAUGAGUAACACCAUACUUGUUGAGUAAAGUGCCGAAAGCCUUGUUGCAAAAAUGCGACCCCCCAUCGCUUAUGAUAGCCUGCGGAGUACCAAACCUUGUGAAAAUAUUCUUCUUCAAGAGCGCCACCACACUUUUCACCUCAUUAUUAGGUAGAGCAAUGACCUCAACCCAUUUAGACACAUAAUCAACCGCGACAAAGAUGUAGGUGUUUCCAUAAGAACUCACAAAAGGACCCUUGAAGUCAAUAUCCCACACAUCAAAGAUAUCAAUCUCUAAAAUGGUAAUGAGAAGCAUUUCAUUUUUCUUUGAGAUUCCACCGUCCCGUUGACAUCCAUCACAUCUUUUCACUACAUCACUUGCAUCCUUGUAAUGAGUGGGCCAAUAGAUACCGCAACUUAGCACUUUGGCCACCAUUCUUGCUCUACCAGGGUGAUCACCAUAUGGCGAAGAAUGACAAGCCCCAAGAAUUUCAUCUUGUUCUUCUUCCUAUACACAUCUUCUAAUCACCCCAUCCGUGCAAAUCUGGAAAUGUUAUGGCUCAUCCCAAUAAUAAUAUUGACAAUCUCAUUUGAGCUUCUUCCUUUGGUUUGAAGAGAACUCAUCCGAGAUGAUUCUACACACAAGGAAAUUUGCCAGAUCCGCGAACCAUGGCACCUCCUUCAUUGAAAUAGCCAAGAGUUGCUCAUCGGGGAAGGAGUCAUUGAUUUUAAGGCCAUCAUGCGGCCUCCCUUCCUCCUCCAAAUAAGACAAGUGGUCCGCCACUUGAUUUUCACUCCCUUUUCUAUCUUGGAUGUCAAUAUCAAACUCUUGCAACAAAAGCACCCAUCUCAUCAACCAAGCUUUGUAAUCUUUCUUUCCCUAUAAGAUAACAAAGAGCCGCAUGAUCAAUGUGGAGAAUAAUGUUCGCACCCAUCAAAUACGGGUGGAACUUCUCAAUUGCAAACACAAUGGCAAUGAGCUCUUUCUCCGUAACGUUAUAGUUGACUUGGGCACCAUUCAUGGUCUUACUAGCAUAGUAGACCACAUGAAAAAUCUUAUUGAUGCGUUGCCCCAAAACAGCCCCAUCCGCUACGUCACUAGCAUCACACAGGAGUUCAAAGUGGACACUCCAAUUUGGAGCGGCGAUGAUGGGAGUGGUUGCCAACUUGAACUUUAACAAUUCACGGGCUCUCAUGCAAUCAUCAUUUAAGUUAACCUUAGCAUCUUUCUCAAGAAGCUUGCACAAGGGGUUCACUACCUUAGAGAAAUCUUUGAUGAAAUGCUGGUAAAACCCCGCGUGGCCUAAGAAACUCCGCACACCUUUCACCGAAGUUGGAGGUGGAAGUUUAGAAAUUACCUCAAUCUUUGCCUUGUCAAAUUCAAUUUCAUUCUUUGAGAUCUUAUGACCAAGGACAAUGCCUUCCUCAACCAUGAUAUGACACUUCUCCAAAUUGAGCACCAAAUUCGUUUCUUCACAUCUUGCCAACACUUUAUCUAGAUUUACAAGACAAUCAUCAAAGGAAUCCCUAACUACCGAGAAGUCGUCCAUGAAAACUUCAAGGUAGUCCUCCACUAUGUCUGUGGAGAUAGCUAUCAUACACCUUUGAAAAGUCAUCGGUGCAUUACCAAAUAGCAUCCGUUUGAAGGCGAAAGUACCAUAGGGACAUGUAAAGGUUGUUUUCUCUUGAUCCUCCGGAGCAAUAAGGAUUUGGUUUUAGCCCGAAUACACAUCAAGAAAGCAAUAGAAAGCACGACUGGCCAACCUAUCAAGCAUUUGUUCUAGGAAGGGAAGUGGAAAAUGAUCUUUCCUUGUGGCUUUGUUGAGCUUGCAAUAGUCCGUACACACUCUUCAACCGGUCACCGUUCUUGUUGGAAUCAACUCAUUCUUGUCAUUGGUGACAACCGACAUGCCCCCUUCUUUGGGACACGUUGAACCAGAGAAGUCCACGAAUUAUCAGAAAUGGGGUAGACAACCCCGGCAUCCAACCACUUGAUAAUCUCCUUUUUGACAACUUUUUGCAUAGCCUCAUUAAGUCUCAUUUGAUGUUCAAUAGAAGGUUUGAUGCCUUCCUCAGAGUUGAACUUAUGCAUGCAAAAUGCGGGGCUUAUACCCUGAAUAUCCGUCAAUGUCCAUCCAAUAGCUUUCUUCCUCUUUUGUAGCACCGCCAAUGUAGAAUCUACCUGCACAUUAGUCAAACAAGAGGAAAGAAUAACCGGUAAAGUAGAAAAAGGACCAAGAAAUUCAUACCGAAGAUGUGGAGGCAAUGGCUUCAACUCCAAGGUAGGAGGCUCUUCAAUGGAAUGAUUUGUAGGAGGAGUUUUCCUAUUUUUAAGAUCCAAGGAUAGUUUCCGGGGUGCAUAAUUGUACGACCUCAUUCCUGGCAAAGAGUUCACACAUUCCAUGAAGCCAUCCAUCUUGUCAUCAUCAACGUUGAGCAAGAUGGCCACCAGCAUAUCACCAACAUUAAUUGUGGCACUUAUAUCAUCAACAAUAACAUCGGUCACCAAAUCCACAAAAGAACACUCCUCAUUGAUAUUUGGUUGCCGCGUAGAUUUAUACACAUGGAAAAGAUCCAUGGAAAACCACUUUUUCAUCCCCCACCCGGAAGGUGAGUUCUCCGGCUUCCACAUCACAAAGAGCCUUCCCCGUAGCAAGGAAAGGCCUUCCAAGAAUAAUAGGCACCUCAUAAUCAACUUCACAAUAAAAAAUUACAAAAUCCACCGGAAGAAUGAAUUUAUCAACACGAACCAAGAUAUCUUCAAUCACUCCCAAAGGUCUCUUCAUGAUCCGAUUGGCCAUUUGUAAUCUCAUAGAAGUGGGUCUUGGUUACCCAAUUCCCAAAGUCUUGAAAAUGAAUAGGGUAUCAAAUUGAUACUUGCCCCAAGAUCACAAAGAGCUUUAGCAAACUCGGCACUUCCAAUUGUACAAGAAAUUGUGAAAGCACCGGUAUCUUCCAAUUUAUGAGCCAUUGAGUGCACAAUUGCACUCACUUGAUGAGUGACUUUUAUAGUUUCAAAGUUCAUUGACCGCUUCUUUGUCUCAAGAUCCUUCAUAAACUUUGCAUAACCGGGAAUUUAUUCCAAAGCUUCAACUAAUGGCACAUUGAUUGAGAGACUCUUCGGCAUUUGAAUAAACUUUUUGAAUUGAUUCUCGCCAUUUUGUUUGGCAAGCCUUUGAGGGUAUGGAGGUGGAGGCUUAGGCAAUGGUGCCUUAUCCUUUUGCACUACCGGCUUCGGUAUAUCAAUAAUAUGAUCCCUAGACGGGUUCACCUCCUCUUGAGUCUCUUUCACACUAUCAUCAAUACCAAUCUGAACUUCAUCAUUAGCUUGCACCACAUUGUUCGGGACCUCUUCUUCUUGUUCCACUUGCUCAUCAUCCACAAUUUGCUUUUGACUUGAGGUGGAUGCAUUUCCACCUCUUCCACUUCUUUUGGUAACGUCCAUGGCAUGUCCCGUGUUGUUCUCACCCUUUGGGUUUACCACCGUGUCACUUGAUAGUGCCCCCUUAGGACGAGAAUUUAGAGCUUGAGGUAUUUUCUGAACUUCUAAGUUACGGAUCGAAGUGUUGUAUGAGGCAAAUUGGGCAUCCGAAUCGGCAUUCUUUUCCAUCAUUUGCUUGAAUAUGUACGCCCCAUCUUAUUGGUUGAAGAACUAGGGCCAUAGGAAGGAUAAAGAGGCCGGUUGUUCGGUUGUUGAUACAUCAGUGGCCUUUGAAACCCGACCCCUGAUUGACUUGAUUAUUGUUUCAUCCGCCUUGAUUGUUACCCCCCCCCAUCCCCCAAUUUCCUUGAUUGUUGUUAUGCCAAUUCCCUUGAUUGUUUCCACCAUUCCAAUUUCCUUGGUUGUUAGAAUUUUAGUUGCCUUGAUUUUUUUGAGUUUGCCAUUGUUGUUGGUUUGGGCCUUGGAAGUUGAUUCGUUGCCCCUAAAAGUUGUUCACAUAUUGCACCUCCUCUUCUUGGUCAUUGUAAGAAUCAUCUUGAUCAAAUCCACUAUCAUCUUGCACAAAAUUAUGCACUCGAUGUUGCACUUGUGGACCCUUUGUUCUUCUUUUGUUCACCAUCAUGUUCACUCUCUCUAUGGAAUUGACUUACUUAGGAUGUUGCACUUGUUGAAGUUGAGCCUUUGCUAGUUUAUUCAUGGUGGUAGUCAAUUCGGCUAUGUCUUGCCCAUUGUCAUGCAACUCUUUGUGAAGGUGGAUCACGUUGGGAUCAACUUGUGGAACAUUAGCCUGGGAUUGCCACGUCGAUGAUGUUUUCGCCAUUUUAUCUAAAAUAUAACACGCCUCCACAUAAGGAGUAGUCAUGAAGUUCCCAUCGGCAAGUUAAUUCACUACACAUUGGUUGGUUGUGUUGAUCCCACGAUAGAAUGUUUGUUGAAUCAUGUUCUCCGUCAUAUCGUUGUUGGGACAUUCCUUAACCAUUGUUUGAUAGCAUUCCCAUAUCUCGUGUAGUAGUUCAUUUGGCUCUUGCUUAAAUGCCAAAAUCUCAUCCCGAAGUGUAGCCAUUUUCCCCGGAGAGAAGAACUUAGAAAUAAACUUUUCCGCCAACUCAUCCCAAGUGUGAAUGGAAUGGUUCGGCAAAUGUUCCAAUCAAUCUAAAGCUUUUCUCUGUAGAGAGAAGGGAAAAAGCCUUAGCCCCAAUGCAUCCUCGGAGACAUUUGUUUGUUUGCUCCCCCAACAAGUAUCCACAAACCCUUCAAAUAUUUCUAUGCAUUUUGAGUUGGAGCACCGGUGAAGAACCCUCGUUACUCUAGCAAAGUGAGCAUCACAUUGGUGAUUUGAAAGUUGCCCGCCCUAAUACGGGGAUGGACUAUUAAACUUGCAUAUCCUUUAUUCGGUAACAUAUGGUGUGGAGCCGCUCGUGUUGGAUGUGGGGUUGGAACGAGCACAUUGUCAUGAGGCACCCAACCUCUUAUAUUGGCUUGAGGUUCAAGAGGAACCUCAUCCACUUGGUCAUCCUCAACGUCCACAUCCCCCAAAGCAAUAUUUCUGAGCUCAUUGUUCACCAUGAUUGUACGUACGAUUUCUCAAACACGUUAGUAACACAGAAGGAAAAGAAGAUACUCCAAAACACACCCAAAUAUAUAGGUAACACCAUUUUUAACUCCCCAGCAACGGCGCUAAAAAUUGAUCGCAUCUAAGCACACACCUCAAAAGAGGUAUGAAAUGGUCGUUUGCAAUUAUAGAAACCCAACUGAGAGUCGGGGUCAAAUCCACUAAGAUGGGAGUUAGGGGUAUAUAUUUCAAUGUGCGUGAUUGAAUUAUCGAGAUUGCACUUCCACAAAAAGAUUGACUUUCUAUUUCUAAUUAUACUGUAUUAAUUGCAAAAUAAAUAAAGAAGACUAGAGAUAAUUAGUUUUGGGUUUUUUCCAAAUUGAUAAAAAGUCUAGGGUUAUGACCAUUACCUAGGUAUUUGCCUGAUGGGAUAAGGACGUUAAUGCUUGUUCUGUUGACUGGGGUAUAUUAUAGCUAUCCGACUAAAAAAGGAGCAGUCUAAGCAUAAGGUAAUAAAGGGGCACAAAAGCACAAAAUAUGCGAUUCGUAGAAGAACUGUUGUGGUCGCAGAAGAAAUUACAGAUCGCAGAAUUCCAUCUGCGACCGCAACCAAAGAAGGCAAAAUCUGCAAACAAUUCUGCAAAUCACAGACCGCAAAUGAAUUGUGCGGCUGCAAAAGCUGGGCUAGGAUUCAAGAUCAGAGAGUAUGCAAAUUACCAAGUCCAAAACAUCAGCAAUCCUGCUUUUGUGCCCUUUUAUUGCCUUGUGCUUAAACUGCUCCUUUUUUAGUCUAAAGUUUCCUUAAGAUGUCGAAAGUUUCUUGCAGAUGUUUAAGAUGAUCGCCUACAUUUAAAGACUUAACGAGCAUAUUUAAACUUCCAUAGUUUUUCCUAUUUGAUUUUCAAACAUCUUGUUCAUGAGUCGUUGAUAAGUGGCUCCGGCGUAUUUCAACCCGAAAGGCAUAGAAAUAUAUAUCGAAAUUCGUUAUAAACGAAGUCUUUUCCUGAUCCUCCGGGGUUAUCUUAAUUUGGUUAUACCCGGAAUAAGCAUCGAGGAAACUCAUUAACUCGUACCCCAUGUGGCAUCAAUCAUUUGAUUAAUGUUUGGCAAUGAGAACAAGUCUUUCGAGAACGGCUUUCUAAGAUCUUUAUAAUCUACACACAUGCGAAACUUAUUGUUCUUCUUAAGAAUUACUACUACAUUGGAUAGCCAGUUUGGAUAUUUUACCUCUGGGAUCGAAAUGAUAUUAAGUAAGGAGGUUACCUCUUCUUUGAUGAAUUUAUUCCUGGCUUCGACAAUCGGGUGUUUCUUUUUUCUAACCGGAGGUAUGUUGGGAUCCAAGCUUAACUUGUGUAUGGCUACCUCAGUCGGGAUGCCUAUCAUAUCCUCAUGCGACCAUGCAAAACAAUCGGCAUUAUACUUAAGGAAUUUAAUAAAGUCAGACCUGAUUUCUGGGUGCAGUCCUGUCCCCAAGAAGAAUUUCCUUUCUAUGAAUUCUUCAAACAAUUCCACUUUGCUCCACCUCUUCCGCUAUGGACUUCCCUGCAUCGGUCUCUUUUGGAACUUGCAAAUAUCUGGCACAUAAUAAUAUUCUGACGCCUCUGCCUCCGGGAUAACUUCAUCUAGUUCGGGAAUGGGUGUCGGUCCCUGUAAUUACUAUGCCACAUGUUCCUUUCCUUUGCUACUGGAGACCGAAAUUGCAUUCAUCUCCCUUGCCACCGGGUUAUCACCCCUUAUCUGCUUAAUUCCUUUGGGCGUUGGAAACUUCAGCAGUUAAUGAUACGUUGAUGGUACAAAUUUCAUCUCGUGCAACCAUGGCCUUCCCAGAAUGAUGUUUUAUCCCAUAUCACCAUAUACUAUUUCGAAAAGAGUUGUUUUCAUUACUCCUUCAGCGUUCGUGAGUAAGAAACUUUCUCUCAACUUGCGAGGUUGAAUCCGGCGAGGAGCUUUGUGGCCGGAAUAAUGCUUUCGGUGAGUUUAGCUUGCUUUAAUACUCUCCAAUGCAAGAUAUUAGUCGAACUUCCUGGAUCCACUAGAAUACGUUUAAUUUUAAAAUCUAGAACAUUUAAAGAAAUUGCCAGUGUGUCAUUGUGUGGUAGCAGCAAUCCGUCUGCGUCCUCCUCCGUAAAAGUGAUAUCGUCUUUCCAAAGCCUUUUGCUAUGCGUUAUUGAUACUUUCAUCUUCUUUGCUAUUGAAAAGGUGACCCCGUUAAUCUCGUUCCCUCCGAAGAUCAUAUUGAUUGUUUGACACGGGGGAUCUUCUCUUACUUUCGAGGGUUCCGCGUUGUCCCGAUUACGAUCAUAAUUGUUCUAAGCUCGGUCACUCAAGAAUUCUAUGAGGUGACCAUUCUUCAAUAAAGUAUCCACUUCUUCCCAGAGUUGUCGACAAUCCCCUAUCCGGUGGCCAUUCAUCCCGUGAUAUUUACACCACAGUUGGGAUCCCUCUGGUUGGGAUUAGAUCUCAUCAGUUUUGGGAAUCGUGCUUCUUUGAUAUUUCUCAUGGCCCACACCAACUCCACUAUACUGACGUUGAAGUUGUAUUCCGAUAACUUGGAGUAAGAAGGAUCCCGCGACCCUAACGCUUCUUUAUCCUGCAGUGAUCGAUUGUUCCGACCACGAUUAGUCCUCUUGUCAAUGGAGAACCUUUUCGCUGUCCGAAAACCUCUGUUGCGGCCUUCGAUUCGUUUGUAGGGCAAAAAUCGGUCCCUUAAAGUCUGUUCGUCCGCGUCAUAACCAUCCUUUGAUUUUUCUCUAUUUUUUUCUCGUCCUUUGGUCGAUGAUGGAAAACUAACCUCAUCAUCUUCGAUCCUUAUUUUUGAUUUGUACCGGUUGUGAACAUCCGCCCAGGUCAUUGAUUGAAACUCGAGUAGGCUUUCCUUUAAUUUUCGGGAAGCGUCUGAACUCCUCGGAUUCAAUCCCUUGGUGAAUGCUUCAGUCUCCCAUUCAUCCAGGACAACCGGGAGCAGCAUUCUCUCCUUCUAGAAUCAGGUAGCGAACUCUCGUAGUAGCUCGUACUCUCCUUGAGAAAUCCUGAAUAUGUCGGCCUUUCGGGCGUGUACUUUUCUAGCCCCGACAUGAGCCUUGAUGAAAGAAUCUGCCAGCAUUUUAAAGGAGUCUAUGGAAUGCUCGGGUAAAAGCGAAUACCACAUCAAGGCUCCCCUCAUGAGGGUUUCUCAAACUUUCUUUAGCAAAACAGAUUCAAUUUCGUGAGGAGCUAAAUCAUUUCCCUUUACCGCCAUUGUGUAGGUGGUAAUAUGCUCUUGGGGGUAUGAAGUUCCAUCAUACUUUGGCACUUCAGGCAUUUUGAACCGCUUCGAGAUUAACUCUGGUGCCGCACUUGACUUGUAUGACUAUUGAGUAUACUUUUACGAGUCCGGACCUUUCAGCACUGGUGGCAUGCUCNNNNNNNNNNNNNNNNNNNNNNGANCGUGCCCUUCUUUAAGGUCAAUUAUGAGAGACAUUGAUGAAUAUGUAACGGUGAACAAAAAUGCUAAAUUCCCUGUAACGAGUAAUUGCUCUUAAUGCCAUGAAAUAUUCUCUAUUAAAUGCUAUCGGGCGAAGAACAUUUAUCACAUCUGUAUGAGUGUUAUUCUUUCUGGUGACAAACGAAAUAGUUGUAUUCGGUCUUUGGACAUCUCCGUCUUGGGUUCCACGUGUCCUUUGUUUGGACGGCCAUGUGUCAUAGCAUAUUUUACCCUAUACAUAUACAUUGCGUGAAACUAGUACAUGUUUAUCAUGUGUUGUGAACAAAUUACUGAUAGUAAACUUUUUGUAAGAACAAAAUUCAAAUAUUGGAAAAAAUUAUAGUUGAUGCCAUUUUUCAAUCAUUAUAAAAUGCAGACUCAAUCAAAAAUAUCAUGUAAGGAGAAGACGUAUCUUUUGAAACAAAUCUAGAUAAUGGAUUCAAGAGAAUUUAUUAUUUUUUUUCCUAUUGGGGUAAAAGGUAAAUAAAAUUAAUAAUAUCCUGUUUUUCUUUAUGUAACGACCCUGCUGGUCAUUUUGAGUAUUACAGCCCCGUUCUCCUAUUUACUGCUUAAUUUAUACUUUACAAUUGUUAUGUGACUUGCCAGGGUAAUUGGUUCGGGUCUGGUGAAGUAUCGGUACUACUUAUUCUUCGGAGCGGUUGGCUAAGAUUUAUAUUAGCGAGAUUGUUCGCCUACACGGUGUGCCAGUAUCCAUCAUUUCAAAUCGGGGCACACAGUUUAUAUCACAUUUUUGGAGAGCAGUGCAGCGAGAAUUAGGUACACAGGUUUAAUUGAGUACAACAUUUCACCCUCAGACGAACGGACAGNNNNNNNNNNNNNNNNNNNNNNNNNNNNNNNNNNNNNNNNNNNNNNNNNNNNNNNNNNNNNNNNNNNNNNNNNNNNNNNNNNNNNNNNNNNNNNNNNNNNNNNNNNNNNNNNNNNNNNNNNNNNNNNNNNNNNNNNNNNNNNNNNNNNNNNNNNNNNNNNNNNNNNNNNNNNNNNNNNNNNNNNNNNNNNNNNNNNNNNNNNNNNNNNNNNNNNNNNNNNNNNNNNNNNNNNNNNNNNNNNNNNNNNNNNNNNNNNNNNNNNNNNNNNNNNNNNNNNNNNNNNNNNNNNNNNNNNNNNNNNNNNNNNNNNNNNNNNNNNNNNNNNNNNNNNNNNNNNNNNNNNNNNNNNNNNNNNNNNNNNNNNNNNNNNNNNNNNNNNNNNNNNNNNNNNNNNNNNNNNNNNNNNNNNNNNNNNNNNNNNNNNNNNNNNNNNNNNNNNNNNNNNNNNNNNNNNNNNNNNNNNNNNNNNNNNNNNNNNNNNNNNNNNNNNNNNNNNNNNNNNNNNNNNNNNNNNNNNNNNNNNNNNNNNNNNNNNNNNNNNNNNNNNNNNNNNNNNNNNNNNNNNNNNNNNNNNNNNNAACAGCCUUCGUAGCCUCUCGAAGACAAGUACAAACAUCUCCGUACCGAUCCGCAAGACUCUACUAGAAUUGCUCAUGACUCGUGAGAACAAGUGAACCUAACACUCUGAUACCAAGCUAUCACGACCCAAAAUCCACUAUAGGUCGUGAUGGCGCCUAACACCGCCGUCAGGCAAGACAAUGUUAAUUAUAUGGGAGACGGUGUCGGUCUUCGGUGGGUUGUUUUGAGCCGGGUGAGGCUAGACUAUUGGGUACUGAUUUGGUUUAGGAUGCUUUGGGGAAGGUUAAAUUGAUUCAAGAUCGGCUUCGCAUGGCGCAGUCUAGACAGAAGAGUUAUGCAGACCGGAAGGUUCGUGAUAUUGCUUACAUGGUAGGAGAGAAGGUACUACUUCGAGUUUCGCCUAUGAAGGGUGUUAUGAGAUUUGGGAAGAAGGGUAAGUUGAAUCCUAGGUAUAUUGGGCCUUUUGAAAUACUUAAGAAGAUUGAAGAGGUGGCUUAUGAACUUGCAUUGCCACCUAAUCUAUCAGGUGUUCAUCUAGUGUUUCAUGUAUCUAUGCUCCGGAAGUAUUUCGUGGAUCCGUCUCAUGUUUUGGAUUUCAGUACGGUUCAGUUGGAUGGUAAUUUGACUUAUGAUGUGGAGCCGAUGGCCAUCUUGGACCGACAGGUUCGAAAGUUGAGAUCAAAGAACAUAGCUUCAGUGAAAGUGCAGUGGAGAGGUCAGCCAGUCGGAGAAGCUACUUGGAAGACUGAGCAGGAGAUGUGGAGCAAAUAUCCAUAGCUAUUUGAUACUCCAGGUAUAAUUCUAAACCCGUUCGAGGACGAACGUUUAUUUAAGAGGGGAGAAUGUAACGCCCCGGCCGAUCAUUUUGAGUAUUACAGUAUCGUUCCCUCAUUUACUGCUCAAUUUGUGCUUUACAUUUGUUAUGUGACUUGCAUGGGCAAUUGGUUCGAGUCUGGUGAGGUUUCAGAAUGAAUUGAGACACUUAGUCUCAAAGAUGAAAACUUAAGUUGAAAAGGUUGAUCGGAUGUUGACUUAUGUGUAAACUAUCCCGGAAUAGAGUUUUGAUGAUUCCAACAGCUCUGUAUGGUGAUUUUGGACUUAGGAACGUGUCUGGAAAAUUAUUUCGAAGUCCAUAGUUGAAUUAGGCUUGAAAUGACUAAAAAAAGAUUAAGUUUGAAAGUUUGACCGGAGAAUUGACUUUUUGAUAUUGAGGUCGGAAUCCGAUUCUGGAAAUUUGAAUAGAUUUGUUACAUUUAUGACUUGUGUGCAAAAUUUGAUAUCAAUUGGACUUGAUUUGAUAGGUUUCGGCAUCGAAUGAAGAAGUUGGAAUUUCUUAGUUUCAUUAAGCUUGAAUUGGGGUAUGAUUCAUGGUUUUAGCAUUGUUUGAUACGAUUUGAGGUCUCGACUAAGUUCGUAUGAUGUUUUAAGACUUGUUGGUGUAAUUGGUUGAGGUCCCGUGGGCCUCAGGUGAGUUUCGGACGGUUAACAGACUAAAUUUUGGAGUUAGAAGAAAUCUCGAAAUUUCUGCCUUCUGAUGCAAUCGCACCUGCGGAAUUUGGCUCGCAGAAGCGGGAUGGACAUCGCAGAAGCGGACGGAAACUCGCAGAAGCGAGUCCGCAGAAGCAACACCAAGGUCGCAGAAGCAGAGGCAGGGGGAGCUGGGCAAGACCGCAGAAGCGGACAGAUUCUUCGCAGAAGCGGACUCUUGUCCGCAUAGGCGAAGCAGGUGCAGAAGCGGCAGCAUGACCACAAAAGCGGGACCGCAUAUGCGGUUAGUUUUCCGCAGAAGCGGAACCCCUGGACAGAUUACAAAACAGAGGGGUUCCGAUAUUUUUGUCAUUUUGGACAUUUCAAGCACGUUGUUUGGCGAAUAUUUAGAGGGAAUUCACGGAAAAACUUGAGGUAAGUCACUUGUAAUCAUUGUUAGUCAAAUAAUAUUGGAUUAUCAUUGAGUAUUUCAACUAGAUUACAUAUUUUUUGAGGUGAAAUUAGAGGAUUUAGGCCUAGGGAUUUCAAAAUAAGAAUUUAAGAUUUUGAGGUCGAGUUGAUGUCGGAAUUUGGUAAAUUUGGUAUGGUUGAACUCGUGGUUGAAUGGGUGUUCAUAUUUUCUAACUUUUACCGAAUUCCGAGACUUGGGGCUUAUGGGCGAGUUUUAAGUGCAAUUUUGGAUUUUGUUGGAAAAUUUAUAUUUUCAUAUGAAAUUAAUUCCUAUAAUUUGUAUUGACUGAAUCGAAUUGAUUGUGAGUAGGUCUGAGGCGUUCAAAGGUCGAUUCGCAAGGAAAAGGCAUAGCGGAAUAAAAAAUUAUACGGUUUGAGGUAAGUAACAAUUCUAAAUUUGGUUUUGAGGGUAUAAAACCCCAGAUUAUGUGUUAUGUGAUCAGUUUUGAGGUGACGCACAUGCUAGGUAAUAGACGUGUGGCCGUGCACCGUAGGAAUUGUGACUUGGUCAAAUUCCAUUGGACUGUGUAGUUGAAUAGUCUGUUGUUAUCUAUACAUUCUCCAUGUAGUAAAGAAAUUGAACCACAAACCAUGUUAGAAAUCUUGUUUAGAUUAUGUGUUGGCACUGUAGGGACCCACAGAGGUCAUGUAAAUGUUGAAUUAUAUGCUAAAUUAUUAUUUUGUACUUAGUCACAGUUGACUUAUUUAUUUUAUCUCAAUCUCUAUUGUUCCUUGUUGAUGCAUUAUAUCAUUUCUGUUGGGGCUGAUUUUCAUGAUUAUUGAGAGCCCGAGAGACAGGAGAGGUUUUUUACUGAGUGAGGCCGAAGGCCUGAUUAUGAGAUAUUGAUACUAUAGCACGUGAGUUGUCUGUGCAUCACGUGAGUUAUCCGUGCGGGUCCAGAUAUUAUACUAUAGCGCGUGACUUGUCCGUGCAGCACGUCAGUUGUUCGUGCGUAUCCAGAUAUUAUACUAUAGCACGUGAGUUGUCUGUGCAAUACGUAAAUUGUCCGUGCAGAUUAUAGCGCUUGGGCUGAAGGAGCCCCUCUAGAGUCUGUACACACCCCCAGUGAGCGCAGGUACCUACUGAGUGCGAGUGUCGAGUGCUGAGCGAAUGGGAGGACUGAGUGACUGUUGCUCUGAGAGGAUGCAUUGGCUUCAUUAUUGUUGUACUUCAGUUGUCCUAUAUCACUGUUUUGGGAAUUUCUAAGUGAUAUUAUCUAUGUUUCAGUUGAACUUGACAUGAAAUUACUGUUUUGGCCUUAAAUAUUGAACUUGAAAGCAUGGCUACCUUAUUGUGUUGGAAAUUACUGUAAUUGGACUCAGAUGUGAAGCUCGUCACUACUUUCAAUUCUUUAUUUAGUAUUGUUACUUGUUAAAUUGGUUGUACUCAUACUACACCCUGCACCUCGUGUGCAGAUCCAGGUGCUUCCGGAUACGGCAACUGUUAUAUCUCAGAGUGUUAUCAGUUGGAGGCUACCAAGGUAGCUGCUUGGCGUCCGCUGACCUUGACUCUCUUCCUUUCAGUUAUUAUACUAUUCUAUAUUUUCAGACAGUGUUUUUAUCAGUUUGACUUUGUUAUCAUUUAGAUGCUCAUGUACUCAGUGACACCGGGUUUUGGGAGUACAUUUAUAUCAGUAUGUGUGGGAUAUUCUAUUAAAUUUAGAUAUUAUAUUUUCAAUCUUAAAAGAAAUUAUAGUUUAUUGAAAUUGUCGGCUUGACUAGUAUCGAAAUAGACGUCAUCACGACAUGCGAAAUUUUAAGUCGUGACACUUUACCUACUAGCUAUUUCUAUGUUUAGAAAGGUCAAAAGAAACUGCCCGAAUGGAAUAUGAUUCUACACCCUUUAUCUGUUAAUUUUGAUUAAAUAUGAUGCAAUGUUAAAUCAUAUAUGAACCAUUUGAGAGAACGUUUGUUUGCCUAUACUAGAAGAGACAAAGCUUAUAGUAGUAACUAAAUUAGUACCAUUUCCUUGGGGAAAUUCAAUUAGUACCUUAACUCCUUAAGGGAUCGUUUGGUUUGCUACACUAACAAAAUUUAUCCGAACAUAACAUUUGGCAUUAGUAAUACCAUGUUUGGUUUGUUAUGCAAAGAAAAAGUAAACGCUGAAUAAUUUAGUACAUUGUUUGAUCGGCUUUAUUAUACUUCGCAUUAAUAACUAUUGUAUAUGUUAUGUGAAAAUUUAUAUUAUUUUACGCUGGAUAGAAGGUUGGAAUAAGAAUAUGGGUAUUAGCAAUACAUGAACAAGAGUAACUAAAGAAAAGGCCCUUAACAUAAUCAGUCUCCAUAUCACAAUCCCCACAUUAUUAGUAUAAUCUCGUAUUAUAAACCAUGUAUAAGUAGACCUUGAACCAAAACCGCUCCUACUUUUACUAAUAUUUUUCUGGUUUAACCAUUGUCUAUUUAAAGCCUAAUAACUCUGAUCGAUAAAUUCAGAUUCGUAUGGGGUUGUCACGACCCAAAAUUCACAUGUCGUGAUGGAGUCUAUCUCUAUACUAGGCAAGCCGAUAACCUCAAUAAAUCACAAUAAUCUCUUAAGUUUGAAAACAUAGUAUUUAGAUUCAAUAGAAAAUCUCACAAACACUGAUACAAAUACACUCCCAAAAUCCGGUGUCACUGAGUACAUGAGCAUCUAAAUGACAACAUAGUCUAACUGAUACAAACACUAUCUAAAAAUAUAGAACAGUACAAAUAACUAAAAGGAAAGAGAGUCAAGGUCUGUGGACGCCAAGCAGCUGCCUCGAUAGUCUCCAACAAAUAAAACUCCGAAAUCUAGCAACCAUCGUAUCCCGAACUAUCUGGAUCUGCACAUGAAGUGCAGAGUGUAGUAUGAGUACAACCGACUCUAUGUACUCACUAAGUAACAAGACUAACCUUUGGGCUGAAAGUAGUGAUGAGGUCAACAGGUAUAGUCCAAUAUAGAAAAUACAGUACAGAAAACGUAGGCAUGCUUUCAAGUUCACAGUUAAACUCAGUAUCUACAUGCCAAUGCACAUGUUGUAUAUGAUGCACCUCUAUGGAAAACCUCGUGCACUUACAAUCUCAAAAUACUCAAUCACUCAGUACUGUAUUUGGUCAAUCCAGCCCAUGAAAGAUCCNNNNNNNNNNNNNNNNNNNNNNNNNNNNNNNNNNNNNNNNNNNNNNNNNNNNNNNNNNNNNNNNNNNNNNNNNNNNNNNNNNNNNNNNNNNNNNNNNNNNNNNNNNNNNNNNNNNNNNNNNNNNNNNNNNNNNNNNNNNNNNNNNNNNNNNNCAUCCCCAAAUAUAAAUAAUUCGGACAAGAUCCAUGUCAACGGAAGAUCCGUCCCUCAAUAUAAAUGACUCGGGCAAGAUCUAUGCCCAGGGGAAGAUCCAUCCCCAAAUAUAAAUAAUUCGGACUAGAUCCAUGUCCAGGGAAGAUCCAUCCAUCAAUAUAAAUGAAUCGGGCAAAAUCCAUGCCCAGGGAAAGAUCCAUCCCAAAAUAUAAAUGAUUCAGACAAGAUCCAUGUCUAGGGAAGAUCCAUCCCUCAAUAUAAAAUUAAUCGCGCUCACGUGUGGGGGGUGCAGACUCCGGAGGGGGCUCCUUCAGCCCAAGCGCUAUAAUAGCCAGAAUCAGGCAUAAAUAAUAAAGCAUGAUGCGGCGUGCAGCCCGAUCCCAUAAAUAUCACUCAAAAUCUCAAGUCUCUCGGGCUCUCAAUGACAUGAAAAUCAGCCCGACAUGAUGAUAUGAUGUAUCAAUGAAUGGCAACAGAGACUGGGAUAUGAUAUGCAAAUGAUAGAUGUGACUGAGUAUAAAAUUAUAAUUUAAAAAAAUAAUUCAACAGUAAUACGACCUCUGUGGGUCCCAAAAUAUCGACACGUAGCCUAAACAUGAUCUUUAACAUGAGUCUUAACUCAAUUUCCUCUAACACGUGGAGGAUAUAUGGAUAAUGACAUGAUUAUUUGAUUAUACAACUCGACGGAAUCAACUAAGUCACAAUUUCUUUGGUGGACGAUCACACGCCCGUCACCUAGCAUGUGCGUCACCUCCAAACAAUUCGUAUAACACGUAAUUCAGGGAUUUAUACCCUCAGAACCAAGUUUAGAAGUGUUGCUUACCUCAAAUCGUUCAAAUUCUUUAUUCCAAUAUGCUUUUGCCUCGCGAAUCGACCUCUGAACGCCUCAAAUUUAGUCACAAUUUAUUCGAUACAGUCAACACAAAUUAUAGGAAACAAUUCCAUAUGAAAAUACUAAUUUUCCAAAAAAAUUCAAAAUUUAAUUCAAAUAUUGCCAGUAGAGCCCACAUCUCGGAACCCGACGAAAGUUACAAAAUAUGAACGCUCAUUCAACUACGAGUCCAGCCAUACCAAAUUUACCAAAUUCCGACAACAACUCGACCUCCAAAUCCUCGAAUUGCACCUAAAAAACACGUAAUCUAGUCGAAAUACUCAAUGAUAAUUCAAUAUUAUUGACUAACAAUGAUCACAAGUGACUUAUUUCAAGUUUUUCCGUGAAUUCUCACUCAGAAAUUGCCUCAACCCGUGUGGAAAAUGUCCAAAAAUGGCAAAAGCUCGGAACCCUCUAUUUUUGUAUACUGUCCAGAGGUUUCACUCCUGCGUCUCACUUAGCCGCUUCUACGGUCUCGCAGGUGCGAGAAACCAACCGCUUCUGCGGUUUGCCAAGGCCUUCACUGCCUCCACUUCUGCGUCCUUGGAGCGGCUUCUACGGGAUCGCUUCUACGAGACCCAGUCCUCUUCUGCGGACGUUGCGCUUCUGCGGUUCCCCAUAUGCAUCUGCGAUCACGCAGGUGCGAAAAUCCCCUCGCACCUGCGACCACUGCCUCACCAUCCCCUAUCCGCUUCUGCGACCGUAUUGUCGCUUCUGCGGUCGCGCAGAUGCGAUUGCACGAGAACUGAAAAAAUUUCCAGAAUUGUUCUAAGUCCAAAUUUCGAUCCGUUAACCAUCCGAAACUCACCCGAGGCCCCCGGGACUUCAACCAAAUAUACCAACAAGUCCUAAAAUAUCAUACGAACUUGGUCGAGGCCUCAAAUCACAUCAAACAACGCUAUACCCACGAAUCAUACCCCAAUUCAAAUUUAAUGAAACUAAGAAAUCUCAACUCCUACAUUCGAUGCCGAAACCUAUCAAAUGAAGUCCGAUUGAUCUCAAGUUUUGCACGCAAGUCAUAAAUGACAUAACGAACCUAUGAAAAUUUUCAGAACUGGAUUCUGACCCCGAUAACAAAAAGUCAACCUCCCAGUCAAACUUCCAAACUUUAAAUUCCUAUUUUCGCCAUUUCAAACCUAAUUUAACUACAUACUUCCAAAUAAAUUUUCGGACACACUCCUAAGUCCAAAAUUACCAUACGGAGAUAUUGAAAUCAUCAAAACUCUAUUUCGGAGUCGUUUACAUAUAAGUCGAUAUCCGGUCAACUAAUUCAACUUAAACUUUAAAUCUUGGAACUAAGUGUUCCAAUUCAUUCUAAAACCUCCUUAACAAGUCACAUAAUUAUAAUUGAGUACGGGAUAAGCAGUAAAUGGGAGAACGGGACUGUAAUACUUAAAACGACCGGUCGGGUCAUUACAAGGGUAGGACAAAAGCGCUUUAUACCAAGAAACUCUUAAUUCUUAAAGCUUGAACAUGAGAUCUAUGAUUAAUAAUGGAAGAGUCACACUUAUCUUACCACACCUUCGAUAGUGUGGUUACUAACAAGAAUUUAAUAAUAUUAGGAUACUAGAGCCAAUGACAGGGCUAGCUUGGAGGAAGAAGGUUCAAUUGAAUUCUCUUCUGAAAAUUAUACUAUACAAAUAGGGUAAAAUUAAUAUUUGUUGGUUAUGCAUAUUAAAUCACUUAAGCGUAAGAAAAAAUUCUAGUAAAUUGACAAUGGAGUUUAAAAUUUGCUUUCAAUCACUUGUAUAAAUUUCAUGAGUGACAUUUUUGAAUUCCCUUUUAUAAAAUCCUUGGUUUGUUAACAUGCCCCGAGGCGGAAUUACCUCUUGGGAAGGGGGUCAUUAGUCCCCAAAAACUUCUAAAUAUAUAUAUAUAUUGAUUGAUAUCUUAAAAUUUAAAUCUUAGCAAGUUGUAUUGGUUGAUUUAGGAGAGCACAAUUUGAAUUUUAGUGCGUUGUUUGGGUUCGACUUUGACUCCAUAAUUUGCUCAAAUUCUUAUUUGAUAGUGGUGCCAGGUCACUUUCAUAUUUUGGGUCCGCCUCUGUACUUGCCUCCUCUGGAUGAAAGUCCAAUUAUUGGUACCUUAAUGGGUAUCAAACCUAUUGACUAAAGACAAUCAAAACCUUUUCUUGAUGACAUAAUAACACAAAACUAUCAAACAAGGAUCACUUUUUUCAGUCAUAAAUGCCAUGUCCAGACUAUCUAAAUGGAGGACAACAAAUUAGGUGAUAAUUGCAAUGCCAAGAAUUCAGCCAUGACUACCGACUCAAUACUCUGUCUUCCCCUCUUCCCCACCCCAACCACCAAAAUUCCAGAGCCAAAAAGGCGAGGUCGACAAAAGCAAAAUAAAAGUCAAAACACUUAAUUCUACGCCUCUAUUCAUGGAAUAGCCUUUACCUAUUAAAUGCAAUUUGGCCACAGUACAUUGGCAGUGACACCUUCAACCAAUUAAUGGUGUUACCCAACACUGUCUCAACAGAAAAACUUAAGUAAAUUUACUUAUGAAAUUUACUUAGAAUUUUGAAUUCAUACAUGAUACAACUCAAACCCUAAAUCCACUUACGAUAAUAAGUUGAUAUUGCUUAUGUACAUUAAUCUAACCUGGUCAGAUUGAGGGAGAAUGAAGGAGCCGUACAUGUACAAAAGGCCACUAUUUACAAUAUGUCAAAAUUGGAGAUGAUUAAAAGAGGCUAACUGUUCAAGGGUACACGCGUCUGCAGGUACAGGAAUUAGCUUGAUAUGAGAAGAAGAAUUGUAUUGUGGUGUAAUUUGGUCAAGCUUCAGUUUUUCUUUCAUUUUUAUUGCGUUUUGCUGAUCAAAUCUUUUUGGGAUUUUUGUAGUUAGUUAGUACAUACAUGGGUCAUUAAUUAUCAUUCUUGGUUGUUGAAGGAAGUAAAGACACUAUAAGAUCAUCAAAUAACUAUCCACAAGUAAGAAUAUCCUAACUAAUUUAUUUCACACUGGAAUUUUGCAAUUUCCACAGAAUAAAUACUUUUUAAAAAAAAAAAAAAAACUUAACAUCUCUAUAUCGACCUAAAUUAAUUAGGAGCAAUUCAAGCUUCUCAGUUACACAAGACAAGGGAAACAAUCCCCUCAAUUCAUUCAAGACAUAGGUCCAUCUUAAUUAUUUAAGCAAUAUUACGAAUUAUUGAUCUAAUUCAUAAUAUUCUCUAUAGACUCAUUUCAAACAAUUUAACAAGUACACUUUAUUUGUUAUUCAUUUAAACAUCACACGAAUUAACACAAUUACUCCACUUAGUGUCUAUUCCAAGCGGAGAAAUUUUCAUAAAGCACUACAGUUUAGAGUUUAAUUUUUAUACAUAAGUAAAAUUUGCCUAAUUAUUAUUCGUAGUUACUAUUCAAUUGUUACCAGCAUGUAUCACUUGUAUUCAGACGCACAACAAAUACAUCAUGUGUCAAUUGUAUUUGUUCGCGUAACGAAUACAACCUGUAUAAUAUCAAUUUUAUUCUUUCGCGUGCGCAACUCUAUUCAUUACUAACACAACCAAGGCAAAAUACAAUGGUGUAUACAAAGGAUACGAUUAUAUAUAUCGACAGUAUUCGUUCGCGCAGUGAAUACAACACAGGCGAAAUAAAUACACAAAAAUAAAAUGCUCUCAUUUAGAAUCGAACUCAAGACCGUCGCUUACUAAAAGGAUUUUCUAACCAACUAAACUACAAAAAGUUUGUUGUAAUCUUGUUUGAGUUCAAAACAAUUGAUCUCUUGUUUUAGAACUACCGGUGAAUUUGCUAUAAAUUUCAAAUAUAACUUCGAAUAAUAAUUUUUUAAAAGUAUAGCUACUAAUAAUAAAUAUAAUAUAUAUAUUUACUGUGGAUUUGCUCAAUUCGGUGCCGCGCCUGCCCGUACGUCACCCGGUCACGCCAAAAUCUAACACUUCUUUUUACACAAUCAAAAUUUCUUUUAUAUUAAACUGAAUGGUCUUGGAAUUAUCGGAAAAGAAUUCAAAAAUACAUAUACUGUCAAUCUAUAUAGAUUUUGCCAAAUAAGUAUAAUAAGUUAGUUAAACAAAAAAUAUACAUAUUUUUUCAGAACUUCAAAACAAGAUUAAUAAAUUUAGAAAAUUGAAAGAGUUUUCUUUAUUUUGUACCUUUUCUUAUGUGAUGACCCGCUAGGUCAUCUAGAGUUUUAAGUCUUAAUUCUAUGUUUUGAAACCUCAAAUAGCUUCUUUCAACAUUUUUCGAUUUAUGUGCGCAGUUCGUGCCUUUUACCGAAAAACUUUUAUGUGAAAAAUUGAUUAAAAUGCGAAUUCGUGCCUUAAAAAUCUAUUUGAGUUGACUUCGGACAAUAUUUCAAGCAAACGAAUCCGGAUCCCUAUUUUGACAGUUCCGAUGGGUCCGCGUCGUGAUUUGGGACUCAGGUGUAUGCCCGGAAUCGAAUUCGGAGGUGCCUAACUCAAAUUAUCGUAAUUUGUUGAAAAUUUGAUGUUUAAAGGUUUAAAUAACUCAUAAAUUUGACCGAUAUUUGACUUUGUUGAUACCGGGUUCGAAUUUUAGUUCCGAAAUUUGGUAUAGGUCCAUUAUGAUAUUUAUGACUGGUCUGCCAAAUUUGGUACAAAACGGAAGUGAUUUGACGUGAUUCGGACGCCCAGUUGUUAAAAUAGAAAUUCUUAAGUUUCAUUAAAACUUUCAUUUAAUUUGGUGUUCGAUUCAUAGUUCUAUAUAUUAUUUUAGUAUUUUGAUCACGCGAGCAAGUUUGUAUGAGAUUUUUCGACUUGUAUGCAUAUAUGGUUUGGAGCCCGAGGGUUCGGGUGAGUUUCGGAUAGCCUACUGACCAUUUGGACUUGGAAAACUCCUGGUUUCUUGAGCUUCUGUUGUAUCUGGUGUCAUGUGCUUCGCGAUCGCGAACCCUUUCUCACGAUCGCGAAGGAGAGUUUGGGACGGGGGAGGAUUUUCUUCAUCGCAAAUGCGAUAGUUGGGUUGCGAACGCGGAGUGUUGGGGGUUUUACCCUUUGCGAAGGCGACCAACUUCUCGUGAAUGCGGGGGCAAGUGGGUGCAUGCCUUCGCGAACACAGAGGGUAAUUCGCGAACGCAUAGGCCAAUGAGCUGCUGAGAUUCGCGAUCGCAUCAGGCCCUUCGCGAACGCGAAGAGGGCCUAACACCAGUGAUUUAAAACAGUCCAAAAACGAGAUUUCUUUCAUUUUUCAUAAACUCUCCAUUAGAGCUCGGCCUAGAGGCGAUUUUGAGGGAAAAACUCAACACCAAUUCAUAGGUUUGUACGCUUUAACUCAUUUUCUUCCAUUACUAUUAUCACCCAUUAAUUUCUAUCCCUAAUCUUUGUUUUUUCAUGGUAGAAAACUAGGGAUUUAGGAAGAAUUGGGGGUUUUUUGCAAAUUCGGGAUUUCGACCUCAAUUUGAGGUCGGAUUUCAAGAAUAAUUACAUAAUCGGGCUCGGGGGUGAAUGGGUAAAUAAAUUUUGUCCGAACCUAGAAUUUUGACUAAGCGGGCCCCAGGUAGAUCUUUUUUACCUUGUGGGAAAAGAUUAAAAAUCCUAUUUUUAUGUAUUGUAAUUGAUUCCCUUAGCAUUAUUUGACGUUAUCGAGUCGAUUGUGGUUAGAUACGAGUGGUUUAGAAGAUGAUUUUAGAGGAAAGGCCCCGGUAGAGCUCUGAAUUGACUGCGGAGUGAUAUAAGUGUCAUGGUUAACCUUGACUUGAGGGAUUAGGACUUGUUUGCCUAUUUACUACAUGUUUAAAAUAUCGGGUACAACAUAUAUGUGAGGUGACGAGUAUUUAUGCGUUGUUAUUGGGUUAAAGCAAGCGGGUGAGGACUUGUUUAUUGUAAUUUACUUCCUUCUUUGAUUAUGAUAUCCAUGCUUAGACUAGUUUGUUACUUAAUUGACUGACUUUCCGCAUUUACGAACUAUUUGUGAUAAUUGAGCAUUAUUGGAAGUUGAGGUUCGGUAUUGUGGAACUGUUGUUGACGCAAGGACUAUUCUUGCUUAUUCUUCCUCCCAAAUAUUAUAUAUAUUUCUCUACAUGGUAAGGAAGAGUGUUAAAGCACGAAGGGUGAUGCCGUGCCGAUUAUUGUUUCAUUUAUUGAUUUAUACAUAGUAAGGAACAGAGUUAAAGCAUGAAGGGUGAUGUCGUGUCGUAUUUAUCGUUUCAUGAUAAAAUUAAGAGUAAAAACAUGAAGGGUGAUGCCGUGCCGUAUUUAUCAUUUUAUAGAGAGAUUGAGAGUAAAAGCAUGAAGAGUGAUGUCGUGCCAUUAUUAUUGUUUCAUGUUGAGGUUGAGAGUAAAAUCACGAUGGGUGAUGCCGUGUAGUCUUUAUCUAUUAUGUUUUUUUCUCUCUUUUCAUUGGUUGAAGGUUUGUUGACUGUUUUAUGUUGUCAUUUCCUAUUGUAGUUACCAUAUCUUGUACCCCUUUUCAUGUCCCUACCCAAUUGUACAUGUUUACUAUUUAUUUGUUGUUAUGUCGUACGUAUAUUUUUGUCUGUACAGGUUUAAUUAUGUGGGUGUUCUAUCAUAGUCUCGUCACUACCUCGUCGAGGUUAGGCUCGACACUUACAGAGUACAUUGGGCCGGUUGUACUCAUACUAUACUCUACACUUUUUGUGCAGAUUUUGGUACUUGUACCAACUAUCCGUGAGGCGCAUUAGCUCGGAUUAACUUAUUUGGAGACUCGAGGUAGAUCUGCUGGCGUCCACAGACCUCGAAGUCCCCAUCCUCCUUCCUUAUUUACUAUUUAUCUCAUUCGAGACAGUUAUAUUUAUUUCAGACUCUAUUUGUAGAACCUCUAGAAGCUCGUGUACUUGUGAUUUCAGAUCCGAGUUGUACUAGAUAUUAGAUUAUUAUGUUAUUUCGUACAUUAUUUAGGAUCCAUUUCUCUUUAAUUGGUUUCACUUAUUUGAAUUGUUUAAAAACUGGCUCAAGAAUUUCUCUAAUAUUGGCUUGCCUAACAAGUGAAAUGUUAGGCGCCAUCACGGUUCCGAAUGUAGGAAUUUCGGGUCGUGACAAGUUGGUAUCAGAGCACUAGGUUAUCUAGGUCUCACGAGUCACAGGCAGGCAUAGUAGAGUCUGGAGGAUUGGUACAGAGACGUCUGUACUUAUCUUCCAGAGGCUACAGAGUUUAUAAAUAAUUUCACUUCUAUUUUUCUCUGUUGGUGCGAUUCUGUUAUAUUAUUGAUGAUUGAACUCUUCUACUCGUGCUCUCUCGCAGAUGGCGAGAACAUAUACUGCAUCUUCAACUGGACAGCAGCCGGAGCCCCCAGUGGAAGCUCCUACAAGGGGCAAAGGUCGAGACCGAGGUCGCACCAGAGGCCGAGGCAGAGGCAGAGCUCGAGCAGCAGCACAACAGUGGAGCCUUAGGUGUAUUUCGAUGAGAAGGUUCCGGCUGAGAUUGUACUUGUUGGAUCGGCUCAUGUCCUGGAGGGGUUCAUCGCCACUCCAGUGCUUCAGGACGCUCUAGUCCGUUUGGUGGGCCUUAUGGAGAGUGUUGCCCAGGCCAGUAUAUUCCCGGUGGCACCGGCCGUCUCUCACGCUGGGGGAGGAGCACAGACCCUCACUGCUCACACUCCGGAGCAGAUGGCUCCCCAGUAUCAGACUCCACCAGCCCCUCCAGUUGGGGUAGUUCAGCCAGUUAUUACGGCCAAGGUCGGUGAUAGGCCCGCCAUGUCUUCUGAGGGCUUAUUGAGAUUAGAAAAGUUUACUAAGCUCUUUCUAGUUCACUUCAGUGGUGCAGCUUCUGAGGACCCACAUGAUUAUAUUGACCGCUGCCAUGAGGUGCUGCGGAACAUGGGUAUAGUUGAGAUCAAUGGGGUCGGUUUUGUUGUGUUUCAGAUGACGGGUUCAGCCAAGAGGUGGUUGAGAGUUUACAUAUUGACCAGACCAGCUGGGUCGCCUACACUUACUUAGGAGCAGUUCUCACAGUUAUUUCUAGAGGAGUUUCUCCAUAUCACACUGAGAGAGGAUUACCGCAGGCAGUUUGAGCAUCUCCAAUAGGGCAGUAUGACUGUUACCCAGUACAAGACCCGUUUUGUGGAUCUAGCUCGUCACGCUCUUCUCUUGCUUCCUACUGAGAGGGAGAGGGUGAGGAGGUUUAUUGAUGGACUCACUUACCCUAUUAGGCUAGAGAUGGCCAACGAGACCGGGGUUGAGAUUUCCUUUCAGACGGCUUCUAAUGUUGCUAGGCGGAUCGAGGUGGUUCUUGCACAGGAGAGAGGGCAAGGGUCUGAUAAAAGGCCUCAUCAUUUCGGUGGGUUCAGUGGUGCCUCGUCUGGAGGCAGGGGUACUUUUGGUAGAGGCCAUCCUCCCAGGCCAUUUCAAUCAGUGCUCCAAGCAUCUUACACUGCUUCAGGUGGCCGUGGCCCUCAUAUAUCUCAUCCCGACCAGCUAGCCUACAGUGCACCACCAGCUCUUAUUAGUGCACCUCCGCUCCAGAGUUUUCAGGGUGGUUACUCAGGUCGACAAGGUCAGUUUCAGGGUCAACAGUCACAUCAGCCGAGGUCCUAUUAUACUUGUGGUGACCUGAGGCACAUUUCUAGAUUUUGCCCUCGGGCACCAGGAUGCUCACAGCAGCAGGGUUCUCGUGCCAUGGUUCCGGCAUCGGUUGCUUCACCGCUUGCUCAGCCAGCUAGAGGCAGGGUUCAGACAGCCAGAGGAGGAGGUCAGGCCAUUAGAGGUGGAGGCCAGGCUAUUAGAGGUGGAGGCCAGCCAGCUAGAGGUUGUCCUAGGGAUGCGGUUCAGAGUGGUGGGGCCCAGCCUCAAUUUUAUGCUUUUCCAGUAAGGCCUGAGGCUUAGUCAUCUGAUGCUAUUAUCAUAGGUAUUGUCCCAGUUUGCCAUAGGGAUGCUUCAGUUCUAUUUGAUCCGGGCUCUACUUAUUCUUACGUGUCAUCCUACUUUGCUUCAUAUCUGGUUGUGCCUCAUGAUUGUUUGAGUGCUCAUGUGUAUGUGUCCAAACCUGUGGGAGAUUCUAUCAUAGUAGAUCGUGUCUAUCGUUCGUGUGUGGUUACUAUUGGGAGUCUUGAGACUAGCGUAGAUCUUCUACUUCUUGACAUGAUAGAUUUUAAUAU